rnacentral:lncRNA from 1 species
AUAAUUUUAUUGUAUAAAUUUUCGGGAUCAACAAUCGGACCAUGCAAGCUAGAAAUACCUUUUCUUGGAUAAAAGAAGAUAUUACUCGUCCCAUCUCCGUAUCGCUCAUGGUAUAUAUAAUAACUAGAGCAUCCAUUUCAAAUGCGUAUCCCAUUUUUGCACAGCAAAGUUAUGAAAAUCCCCGCGAAGCGACCGGUCGUAUUGUGUGUGCCAAUUGUCAUUUAGCUAAUAAACCCGUGGUUAUUGAGGUGCCACAAGCGGUACUUCCUGAUACUGUGUUUGAAGCAGUUGUUCGAAUUCCUUAUGAUAUGCAAGUGAAACAAGUUCUUGCUAAUGGUAAAAAGGGAGCUUUGAAUGUCGGAGCUGUUCUUAUUUUACCCGAAGGAUUUGAAUUAGCCCCCCCCGAGCGUAUUUCGCCAGAGAUGAAAGAAAAGAUAGGUAAUCUAUCUUUUCAGAGUUAUCGUCCCAAUAAAAAAAAUAUUCUUGUGAUAGGCCCUGUUCCUGGUCAGAAGUAUAGUGAAAUCACCUUUCCGAUUCUUUCUCCGGACCCCACUAUUAACAAGGAUGUUCUUUAUUUUUAAACUCUCCUUCGGGUGUGAUCAAAUUUUUGCAUUGUUAUCGAGACUCAUUCCGUAUGAAGGAAACAGAAGGUAAAUUUGCAUUUCUAAUAAUAAAUUUUUUGCUUUAAUUAUUAGUAUAUUUUUUUUAAAAUAUCUUUAUGAUUGCCCUAAUUGCAAACUAAAGAUCACUAUUAAUUUUUUUACAUUCCACCAUCCAAUUUUCCAUCUUUCGCAUAAAAGGCACAUAAAACUUGUCACCUUUGAAAAUUCAAUCAUCCAUAUUUUCCACCACUUCCAUUCAACUCCUAAUCUUUCCCAUUUCUCAAACCAAAAUAAAAUUUCACAAACAUAAAAAUAAUAAAAAUCUGGUGCUAAAUUAUUUAAUAUAAAUUUAAAUACUAAAAUUCUAAAAAUAAAAAGAUUUAAAGAAGAUGAGAGGAUUAUUUUGGGCUUUCAUAAGGAAAUGCUGCCAAAGGUUCAAAGGGAUUUAAGUAGUCCAAGUGACUCCCCUACUUUCUUGAGAACUACAAUGAAAAUUUUGGUGCUUACAUCAAUGAGACGUUUCUAAGUAAAGUACUUGAUCAACGUUUUUAAGCGUUAUCAAAAUAAUCCGACUAAUGAAUUAAGCAGAGUCGAAUCUCCCAAGGGUCUCUUUAAAUAUCUUACUCAAAGUUAUAAAUAGUACUAAUCGAAAUAUCAAUGAAUGUGGUUUAGGUGCCAUGGCGAUUAAUCAAUCAUAAAAGAAAAUGAAAAUUUGCUUUAAUGUAAACAGGAUUGCAAGAGUGCACGAUGCAAGACUGCACGAUAUAAUGUUUAGCCAAUGAGAGAUGAAACUGCUUAGACGUCGAAUCCCCCUAGGUAAUUCUAAUUCACAUAUGACAGACAAAUUCCACGAUUUACACGAGGAUAGACACAUUACACAGUUGCAAUUCUUCUAUAAUCAAAUCACACCCUUACGAGACCACUAAUUUGGUACCUAUCUAGUAUUUUAGGCCGUUCUUUCGAGACAAAGAUCUAAAAUCCGCUAGGUGAUUUACCAAUUUAGAAUGGCUCACCACGACAAACUAGUUCAUUCGCUCCCAGAUGAGGGUUAAAGUUUAACCUAGUUAUUUGAUUUUGAUGUUCUAGAUAUGCAAACUCUCACAAGUCUAAGACAAAUCUAAUAGAUCUUCAUUCAAGUUUAUCAGGUAAGAACAAGUGGAAAACGAAAUCAAAUACGCAAUAAAAUUCAUCUAACUCACUUAAAUUGACAAAUGUAUCAUAUCAUUCGUUCAUAAGAAUUAACCUAUGGUUCAUCUAAUCUAAGCAAGAGUAGUUUAGCUACUCAUAAUCUCGAGGGAAAAAUCGAGAUCAGAAGAGGAAGACAUUGAAUCUAGGUUUACACAAAGAAAUAUGAAAAACUAAUUUCGCCGAUCUUCCCGAGAACUUGAUUCACCGAUUGAUUACUUUCCCGAUUCCGAGCUCCUUGAAGUUGUUGUUUUGUUGCUCUCAAAUCUCUCAAUAAUAAUCUCAAUUUUGUCUGGGAAAAUCUAUCUGAGAAUGGGAUAGAAUUGGGCUUUUAUAGAGGCGAUUCCUUAGGACUAGCAGACACCAAAAGUGCGCCGCACACUUUUGGGUUUUCUAAGGCACAUUUUUGGUCUAAAUGUCAAGGAUCGGAACUUCACAUAACAACCAAACAUGCGCGUAACCAACCAAAACUGCGUCGCACACUUAUCGUAUGGUUAAGGCGCACUUUCGGUAUAAAGCCAGACUUGGUGAUUUUUUCAUUCUUUGAUGCAUCCAGCUUCUCCUUGCACAUCAUUACAACUACGAAUAAUGCCCCGAUAUCGUUGUGUUCCUGAAGUUGAUCAGAAACACUACAAAACAACAUCAAAUGGACCCCGAACGGGCCUAAGACACUAAAUCGAGGUAAAAGUUAGAAAUGCAUGAAAUAUCCUAAACUUCUACCCAACACUGUACAAAUAUUCAUGAAAUAUUGCUUAAAUGAGGACGAUGAACACGACAAAUCAAGUGUCAUCAGUACUCCAUAACCUUCCCGCUCAACUUUUUUAACACAUAAACACUCUUUGUGUCUGUCUCUCUCUCUCUCCUUUUAAAACUUCCAAAACUAAAGCAAAACGAAUUCAUUCUCUCUUCUCCCCUCUCUCCACUCCAUCUUCCAAACUCCUAUUUGGUCAAAUGAAUGAUGCCACAUAUCACUCCACAAUUUGCUAACCUUCUUCUUGAAGACGUUGCAAUUGCACCUACGGUUCCCGGUAGUACGUAUUCUGAGGACGAGUACUCCGACAAAGAUCAUCUAAGAAUUUCCACUAAAGAUACCUUCACCAUGGGUUAAGAGAAGACAAUUGGUGAUUAUGCGAAACCAAGUCUCUCUAACGUGGGGUCUUCCAUCACCCGACCUCGUGUUGAAGCCAAAAAUUUUAAAUUGUGACCCGCUAUGAUCAACAUGGUCCAGCAAACAGUGUAAUUAUUAUUGAAAAAGGAAGAUAAUCCCCGUAACCAUAUCAAAGACUUCCUUGAAAUCAAUAACAAUUUACAAGUCCAACAGGUGCGCCCAGAUUCCAUUCGCCUCUGGUUUUCCCUUUCUCUCUUAAACGAGUUUGUCCUCAAACAGUGGGUAGUUUUACCACCCGGGACGGUCUCAUCGAAGCCUUUCUGAAAGAAUAUUUUUCUCCAUGGAAGCGUGAUGAUAUCAAAGAGAGAAUUAUCAAUGUCAUGCAACGUGAUAAUUAAAUUUUUUUAUUAAGCAUGGAUUUGAUUCCAAGCUCUCCUCCUCUCAUGCACUCAUCACAGGUUUUGAUGACCCCAACCAAGCGUCGAUCAAGAAAGCAUGAUCAACCAGACUGUUGGUGGUGAUAUUUGUAGUCCUACUCUGACUCGUGCUCUUGAUCUCUUCCAAUAGUAUCUAUCAAAACUCAAAGUUGGGCUAGAUGAUGUGGUAACCAAUAUAGUACCCUGCCUACUACUUCAUCCUAUGCCAUUAGUCAUGAAACCCUUUGGACCGCUCUUGUUCCCAUUCUCUCUCAGGUGCAUCCUCUUUCUUAACAAGUGAGAAAACUGACCAUCGAGACCCUACAUAAACCUACAUCAACAAUUUGUGUCAAUGAUGCAUGCGAGGACGAAGGACAUGAUUAUGCUGACUGUUACUCUUACAAUACUUCUCCCGACAAAAAUAAGUUGACUUUGUGGGUGGUGAUUACCCGUAAAUUGCAAAAUCAAGGAAACUCUAGGCCUUUCCAAUACUCUUACCAAGUCAACCGUCUUACCCAAUUCUCGGGUCUGGCACACCAGGAAAACAUUCAUGCUCUUUCCAUAACAAUGAAUUUCAAUUGAACAAUCUUGCCAUAAUGCUGAGUGAGAGACUGCAAGGCUCUCGCCCGAGCAACACUGAAAACAAUCCUAGGCAAGAGGAAUAAAAUACAAUCUUUGUUACUAUUGAAAGAUUUGACACUUCCGAAUCUUGUGAAGCUGUCACCCGCAAAAGUAGAAUCACCACUAAGGAUCCUCCAAUUACUAAGUCCACAAAUGCCACCAACAUAAAUGGAAAUCCUGUUGUCGCACAAGUCCACUCGGACAUCUUGCGGAAUCUUGAGAGAUGUAGUUGUGCUAGUUGGACCUUAUGUCUUUCUGGUUGACGUUGUUAUCAUUGAGACCAAUAUAUUAUAUGUCUCCCUCAUUCUUGGCUGUCCAUUCUUAAAAAAUUCUUGUGCUAUCAUCGAUGUGCACGGUGGCAAGCUUACUUUUCGAGUCGGCCAAGGAAAAGCCAUAUUUUGUCUUUUUGACGGGAUGCAAUAUGUCGAUGUUUAGGAUAACCCAAACUAUUUUGAUGACUUCGCUGAAGUUGGAUUAGUAUUCUUCCUAUCUAGUGGCCUCUGCUAAGACCCACUUGAGUGGUGCCUCUAUGCAUGUUUUUGGGAUGCGUUUGACAAGGAAUAACAACUUGAGCAGGUUUCCAUGUUGGAACCUGAAGGACAGGAGAUUGACUGUACUCCCGAGCCUCCGGUAAAGGUACCAAGGAUGGAACCCACUACCUGAACACCUCCAGUAUGCUUUUCUGAUGGAUGACUUGAAGACACUUGUCAUCAUCAAUACCUCCCUUAGUCCGGAACAAAAGGAAUGUCAUAUCACUCUUUUGAAAAAUAUAUAAUGUUUGAGUCAUUUCUCCAUCCUUUUGUACGCACAAAAUUCUGAUGGAAGAGGAAUACAAGCCAGUUGUGAAUCCAAACAUGAAUGCAAUGGUAAAAAAGGAGGUGAUGAAAUUGCUUAACGAUGCAUCUAUCCCAUCUCUAAAAGCCCAUGGUUUAGGCUUGUGCAAGUAGUGCCAAAGAAAGGGGGCAUGGCAUUGGUCUUAAAUGAUAAUAGCCAAUUAAUUCCUACUUGAACCAUUAGUGGUUAAAGAGUCUGUAUAGACUAUCGCCGGCUGAAAGAUGCCACCGUGAAGGACUAGUUUCCUCUCCCUUUCAUUGAUCAAAUACUUGAUCGCCUAUCUGGUCAUUCUUAUUACUACUUCCUAGACGAGAGUUUCGAUUACUUAUAAAUACCCAUUGAACCGAAAGAUCAAGAAAAGGCCACCUUCACUUGUCCCUAUUGUAUCUUCGCGUAUCUUAGAAUACCAUUUGGUAUGUGCAAUGCACCGAUGACUUUUCAAAGGUGUAUGAUGGCCAUUUUUUAUGAAUUGGUGGAGGAUGUGGUUGAAGUCGUUAUAGACAUCUUUUCCGUCUAUCUAGAUUCAUUCUCCCACCACCUUAAGAACAUGGAAAAAGUGCUCAUCUGUUGUCAAGAAACACAGUUGGCUCUUAGUUGCGAGAAGAGUAAUUUUAUGGUUCAAGAGGGCAUUUCUUGGCCAUAAAAUCUCCUGACAUGGGAUAAAGGUCGAUCAAGCGAAGAUCAAGACCAUCUCUCAUCUACAUCCCCCCACUUAUGUCAAAACCAUUCGGAGUUUCCUUAGUCACGCUAGAUUCUACCGAUGUUUCAUAAAGGACAUUUGAAACAUAACUCUUCCCUUAACAAAGCAUUUUUAAAAGGAUGUUGAGUUUCAGUUUUUUGAAAAAUACCUUUUGCUUUUAAGUUCUUGAAGGAGAAGCUAAAAAUGCUCCCAUCAUUGUGGCUCUUGAUUGAACACUCCUUUUCAAACUAAUGUGUGAUGCUAGCGAUUUCAGGCAACAAAAGGAAAAAUGUUUCCACCCUAUCUAGUAUGUAAGUAAGACGCUCAAUGAUGUGCAACAUAACUACACCACCACUAAGAAGGAACGGUUGGCUAUUAUUUUCAAAUUUCAUAAGUUCCAAUGAUACCUCAUACUAUCUCACAUGGUAGUCUUCACUGGUUACCAAGCACUGAGGUGUCUUUUUGUAAAACCCAAUGCGAAGCCAUAAUUAAUCUAGUGGGUCUUGCUGCUGCAAGAAUUUGACAUUGAGAUUUGUGAUAAGAAGGGUGUAGAAAAUGUCACAGCAUACCAUUUAUCUAGACUCAAAGGUCCAGAAGCAUCUCCCUCGACUGGGAUUUAGAUCAAUGAUUCGUUUCCUAAACAACAUUUUUUAGGGUAGUUGCUCAAGAAUUGGAAAGUCCUUCGUUUGAAAUAUUUGCCAACUAUUUGGCUACCGGUUAACUUCGUAAGGAUAUUUCAUGGAAAGAUAAGUGGAAGUUCUUUGACGAUCUUAAGCACUAUUUUGGUAUGACCCUUUUCUCUUCCACAUAUGGCCCGAUGGAGUCAUUCGUCAUUGUGUCACAAUUUCUUAGGCACACAACAUAAUCUGAUACUGCCAUUCAUGACUAACCAACGGCCACCACAAUUGUAACCAAACGACAAGAAAGGUUAUUGUGAAACCCGCCCCUAGACGACCCGGUCGAAUCGCCAUGCAACGACUCGCAAGUGCGACUAAAUCAACAUAAACAUAGAUACAUACAUAAUCAGAAAGCUAACUCAUGAAACUCCUCAUAAAUCAAGAAAACGACAACGUACAAAUCAGAUCAGCAAUGGCUCAACAUUAAUACCCAAAAUAACAUAAAACCAUCACGAAACAAAGGAGACAAACAUCCAGAGGUAAGGUAUUUGAAAAACAUAUUGAAAAUCCUCAAAAAUAAAAAAGGGUAAAGGGUCCUCCAAGGUACCUCUCUCUACGACUUUAAGAGCCACUUAGUUAAGGUAUCAGGCCUACUCGUAAGUUCCUCUUAGAAGGCAUUGACUUUUGAGGUUCCACCAUCGUACAUGCAAAGAAGAAUGGGAUGAGGUUAGUGAUAAGCACUGAGUGGAUAGUAAGACUCGCUUAGAACUGAGACUGACAUCUAAUAAUGUGACCCUGGUCCUAUAAGUAUCUACCUAGAAUCAACCACCCCUAACUAUAUGUGGAUAGCCUCAUGGUGGAUUAUACCAUGAAACCACCCAUGAAUACUAUAUGAGCAGCAUAUACAUGGAUGCUCUACACGUCCUGCCUGAAACAGAAAUAUCAACUGAAGGCUUGCGCAAUCCCGAGGUGGGUGACCGAUGCAUCAUAGUCAAGAACUAGCCUAGGAGGCAUAUCCUGUAUUGUACUGCCAGGAACUGUGGAUCACACGCCACAGUUGAUAAGUUAAGAAGUUAUGCUCGAUACAUGCUACAUAAUAUGUACUGUACAUCACAAGAUUUUGUACAACUUCAGAGCCCUGCUCUAUAUCAUGAAUUGAUAAUAUAUACAAUAGAUCACACGCUAGUGUAAAGCCUAAGAGUCUUUCUCUAUAUCACAUCACACCAUCUGUAUAGUAAAUCACACGUUACUGUACACAUUGAAAGCCCUGCUCUAUAUCACAUGAGAAAUCCAAUCAUUGGAUUCGUGAGCAUGCUAUUACAGUUCUACGCAUAUAAGCAGAAUGCAAUCCUAAUCCCCCACCUCUGAUUAGCUUCCUGGUAGAUUCUGAACCGUACCUACCUUUGUCAAGCUCAAGCCUCCUGUCCUGAAUGACCUGAAGAUAUCAAUCGUUGGAUUGAAAUCCCAAAACCCCAAAUCCAAAAACUGCCAGGAUUUUCUUAUGUGAGUUUCAAUCAAAAAGAUUAAGAGAGAAGAAGAAGAGUGGUACCUUCCGAUGGUUCUCCCAGCCUCUCUAACCCUCUCUCAAUGAUUUGGGAUCGACCAGCUCUAUCUUCUCCCCUUAAUUGGUAUUCUCCACCCCUUGAGAGAGAGCAUCGUUCGUCAGACAAUUUUAGGUAUUUGUUUCUGUAAAUUUUGAGUUGCCGGUCUCAGAUCUGGUUUUAUUACUAGUCCACCACUUUCGUGGCGGACUUACCACCAUGCCCAUGACUGCUUGACAACCAUGCUCGUGAUCUAAUGAUGGUCACAACUGUGAUGAGUCAAGCUCAUGACUGGCUGCUAAUCACGGCCAUGGUUGACCUAGCAACCACUCUUGUGAGAGGCUCAUGAUCACGCCUGUGAUCGUCCACUCUUCAGCCCAAAACCCAAUAGACUCAGACCCAAAAAACGGUUGAACAGUUGAAUCAAAAUUGGGGUGUUACAGUUCUAUAGUCUGUAUUUUUAUAGCCUUUGAUCUUUAAAGAUAAUGACCUAUUCACAAAGACCUUUGACGCGUUUCAACGCGCCGACUAUAUCUCACUGCGUAAUGAAAUGUCUUAGACGGUUGGAAAAUUGCUCCAACGUUUUUUCACUUGGUUUGGAGCACAUCAAGCUAUCAUCAGCGAUCGAGGAACUCACUUCCAGGGGAAGUUUGAUCAUGUGUGUUGCCGCUUUGGUGUCACUCAUUGUCUGUCCACUAAUUACCACCCAAAGACUAGUAGUCAAGCAGAGGUGACGAACCAAUAACUCAAGCAGGCAUUGGAGAAAACCGUGACCCAAUCUUGCACGGAUUGGUAAAAAAUGUUGGACAAUGCUCUUUGGGCAUAUCAAAGGGAUUUUAAAACUCCUAUCAUCCCUACACCUUACUGUCUCAUCUACGGAAAGGUAUUCCAUAUUCCUGUUGAGUUAGAGCAAGGUAGUUUAGGACUUGAAGUCUCUAAACCAUAACACAAAUUAGGUUGAACGACCAUACUCCAAGCAUAUCAUUCAUGUCAUCAAAUAUGUUGAACCGUAUAAUCUUAGGAGUAAUCAUGGAAUAAUCAUAUCUCCAAUGCAAAAUAACUAGCUACACAUGGUCUCCAAAGAGGAAGGGGAGAAACAGGGAAAACUUAGUCAAACCCAAUGGGUCAAUAGGGGAUUAACUAGCUCCGAACUUCACUUUGAUCUUUCAAUCUUCAAUCCAAUGCUCCUAGCUUCAUUGACCUUUAAUUUGAUCUUUUAUUGUGUCUUCUAGGGUUCCAAUGACAGUGGGAGAAGAGGGAAAAACUCACCCCAAGUCAAAUGGAUCAAAAUGGCCCGUUUGAGAAAACAUGAGCGCAACAUUGAUUCCAAGCGAAACUAGGUACCAAUAUCGGUCAUAUAUGUCGAAACGAGUCAAAAGAUAGUCAAGGUGGGUACGAUUAUCACCACAUUAUGGGGUGACACCAAAUUACCCCACACGUGAACAUUUCUCGUCCUCAAACAAUCAUGUUAAUCACAUUCUAAUAGGAAAAUAUGUGGGAUAGGAAAAACAAGGCCCCGCACUUCAAGCCUACUUUACGAUGUCAAAGGUGCAAGUGAAUCACCAAACCACAAAAUUAUGUACAAGACACUGAAUUCCUUAUACUAGUAAAAGAUGGACUUGUGCAUAUUGUACAAAUGACCUGACACCUAACCGCCAGAGUGUAUCAAACAUCUCCCUAAACACUUAUGUCAUUAGGGUAAUAGUGAAAGAAACUACAUUGACGGUCGGUCCUGGUCGGGUUUGCCCGUCUUGAGGGAAGGGGUGCUUUUCAAAAUAUUGUGAUAAAUCAUUAAAACACAAGGUACCCCCUCUCUUAUUUUGGUCUCACUUGCUUGAUUAUUGUCUUUAGGACUUUGUGGAGAUCUUCUUCUCUUUUUCUUUUCUUUUUGAUAUUUUUUUUUGUAUGGGUUGCUUUUUCCCAAUAGGGAUAAUUAUGACUCUAUCCAUCCAUUCUUGGAAAUAACCAUUCUCUGGCCCAUGACCAAUGCCUUGAAAGGGUUAGGAAGAUGGUGGACCCUAAGGGUUGCCCUGCGUGUUUAAGUUGUAACCAAACCCCUAUGAGAUUUGUUGGACUCAUUGGUCUCUUUAAGCGACCUCAUUCUUAAAAUCGACCCAUCUGUUUUGUCUUUUUAUCACCAAUAGGAAAACUCGUUUAAGAGGAUACAACAUACACCACAACAGAAGUUGGCAAUCCAUAUGUAUCAUUUGUAUGAGUCCCUAGUGUACUAGGUUUAGGAAAAUGGGAAGUGGUUCACAAAUGAAAUCCUAAACACCGUACUCAUCCACAAGUAGUAUGGGAACAUAAUACUAAGCAUGAAUCCACUAAUAUCCACAAAAUCAAGUUCGAGAGUGACUUUUAAAGAGAAAACGAGAACAAGUAUACAAAUAUGCACACGAGUAACCCACAAGAUGGAAGAACAAAGAAACCAUGGCAAGCAAUACCCCAACCCACAUCUAAACAUCACAUUGUUCUCAAUGGGACCAAACAAUAAGGAGAAUAAGGAAUAUGUUACAUCCCGAUCCUAGCUAACAAAAUUAUGUUAGGGAAUUCCUAAACUAUCCCAUAGAAAGUCUAGUAUAAAAGAAAUAUGUUAUGAGAAUAUUAGUACUCUUAUGUGAAUUAUUGUAUUAAUCCUUGCUGUGUUUAGUUGCAUCUAAUUUAUGCACUAAGGUUUGCUUGAUUCAGAAUUAAUUAGACUCAGUAUUACAUUUGAAUUAUGUUACGAUAUGUUAGCAGUUAUUAAUGAGUGUAUUGCUUAGUUUCUUAUGUCAUGUCUAAUGUUGUGAUAAUUAGAAGUAAUUAUUAACUUAAGUUUCCAAUAUAAGAUGUGAUAAAUUGUUGCUUGAUGUGCAUAUCACACCCAUAGGAAAAACCUAUCAAGAAUGUGCGAUAGUAAUUGCAAUUGUGGGAUUCACGUUAUUAUUAAAUAAGUAUGAAACAUGUUAUGUGACCAUAUGCCAUGUGCAAGUGGCUCCUUGAUUUCAUGUUACUAUGCUAGGGUAGGAAAUGCGAUGACCGGUUAGCUCAUAAAUCUUUAGAAAUUAAUUUGAAUGGAAUAAAGAUGGUGACUAGUAAGAAUUUAAAGUCCCCAACCGAAAUUGGACCACAAAGUCAGUUGUAGCCUAGUGGUUAAGUGUUUGAGCCCUUAGUGAAGAGAUGGCGAGUUUGAUUUCGAAAUUUUUUUAGGCUAUAUUAAAUCGGAAAUUACGUAGAUAAUCAAAUCGAAACCUUAAUUACAUAAAAUGGCAAUUAUCACCACUUACAACAUGCAGUGCGUCAUAGGACACGCAGCGUGUCUUAGGUGGCCUCUAACAUCUAGUUUCUAAUGGCCGGGGGGGGGGGGGGGGAAUGUUAUGAAUAAAUUUCGCCACCCCGAUGAGUCAAAGGAUUUGUUCACCUACUUCGGAGAAGAAAUGAAGUACGAUUGCGGAUUUUGUGCACCGAGACUGAUGACGCUGAUGUUCGAGAAAUAGUUCAAUUGUCCUUUCUAUAAGUGUAGGUUUGAGAAGAAGUUGGAGGUGGUGUUGGCUGAUAACUCGGUGAGGCGUGAGAUGCGAGCUACAAUGGAGGCAAAGCUUGCUGAGAAGGAUGUUGAGAUUGAAGCUAUUCAUGCUGAGAUGGCGCAUGAUUGUUUCAAAUGGCAACGGGAGAGGAUAGACAUCAUACGGUCAAAGGAUAGGUUCAUCGAGGCAAUUAGUGACGACUUGAAGGAUGAAAAUACGAAGCUUAGGUUUAGGGUGGUGUAAUAUUUACAUACCUUUUAUUCAAUGUUGAAUGAAAGAAUUGAUCGUUUGUAAUAAAUUGGUUGUGUUUCGAAUUGUUUUAGUUAAUGAAACAAUUUUUAUCCUAACUGUCAAAAGCUGAGUUACUGAUAAUUUUCUGGUCAAAAGAUGCCAAAGCUGUUUGAAUCCUGCCGCAAGCAGUAUGUUUCGAUCAAAAGAUGCUAAAGUUGUCUGUAGUUUUUUAGCCAAAAGCUGUACAACCCGUGGUCAAAAGCUGGCACUGUUGCCUAAAGCUAUUACCAGCUGUAAAUGUGAUGGGGAAUCUUGUAGAUGAUUGGAAGUAAUAUGCUGGUUGAGGGAAUAUGUUGUGGCAUAUCCUGCUGUAAUAUUACCCUCUCCCGUCUAUUUCAACACAUACCUCCAUUGCUCACAACUCACAAAUUAUGAGCACCAAUUUGUAACUCAUUCUGCCUACUUUACUUCUCCUCUCUAUCCUUCUGAAUAGAAAAUGGUUGAGUUCGCCUUCAAUCUUCAAUGGGGGGGGGGGUGGGAAUCUCUUUUACCCGAAUAUCAGAGUUGAGUAUGCUGGUGGUCAUUCCCGGAGAGUGAACUUGAGUUCAGCCCCAACAUUCGCCUGAGCCAUUCCCGUUUUCUUCAAGAAAAUGAAGACCCCAUCGGAGGCCAUCCUCGGAACUGUGUACUAUCGCCAAACUAUGGUAGCCAGCGACACUAUUGCUGGUAUUGCCUCCGGCCGUGCACCGAUGAAGAGGCUUGAGGAGCCGUCGACUACAUGGUAAAUACCUUCCCUAUGUGCAAAAUUUGGAGUUGUAUUUGAGUUCAAAGGUCCAAUCGACAAAGUUUAAGGCUUAGUUGGUCAAUCCUCAACGACUGGGUACUUUGAACCCUCUGGUUCAUAGAACAUUGACGAGCUGUCACAGUGCGGCGUAUAACCCACCGAUGAUGCCGUGGAUGAAGACGAUGUUGACGAUGAGCCAGAGUACGAUCCGACUAACAACAAUGGGGAAGGGGAAGAUGACCAGGCCUCGAGGGAGGACAGCGACGGUACGCCGAUUGGCCUCUCCAUCCAGAGGGGGAAGAUGCUGAUGUUAUAAUCGGUGCGGGCGCUACAACAUCUUCUCGUGCCCUACUCCGUCUGAUCUGUACACAACGUUGGGGGACAAUAUGGACCAGGUAAUGACGGUAGACGACUAAGAGGGUGGCCCUGAUAUCUCGAAUUUCAACUCCACCCGUCAACAUUUUUACACCGACCAGCGGUUUACACAAAGAAGGAGGCAAGUCUUGCUGUUAAUCACUGUGCCUUUCAUAACAAUCGAGCUCUAAUGACGUCUUGUUCAAAGACUUGGGAGUUGAAGGUCAGAUGUUAUUCGUACGAAACAAACAACUACCCAUGGAGGUUACACGUCACUAGCAGCACAGACGACGGUUUCUGGACGGUUCGGUUGUGGAAUCCACAACACACAUGUGACGGAAGCGAGCACAACAUAGAAUCUACCAAACCGGAUGUGAACGUCAUUGCGGAUGCCGUGAUGCACCUAGUUUGGUCAAGGCCACACCUUUUUGGAUCCGUCUGAUCUAAGAUGUGAUUUCACAUCUUUUCCAACGUCAGAUGUCGAACAGAAAGGCGUGGUAUGGGAAUCAGAGAGCUAUGGAGAUGAUCUAUGGAAAUUGGGAGGAGUCUUACAACAAGCUUCAAUAUUUCUGUAACGAAGUGCAGAGUUGUAACCCUGGCACUCACGUCCAGUUCCGCUUUGAUGACUUAAUCGGUGGUGUCGUUGUUCGGAGGCAAUUUUUUCUGUAUUCUGGAUCUUCCGGCCGUGCAUUAAAGGGUUCCGAAAUUAUCUACCUAUCGUAGUUGUUGACAUCACCUUCCUCACCAGGAAAUAUUUUGACGGUCGCCGUAGCCAUCAUCGACAAAGAGAGCAUUGACACCUAGGCGUGGUUCCUCUAUUGCAUCCAAGAGCUAGUGACAGACAGGCAGAACGUAUGCGUCAUCUCAUAUCGUCAUGUCGGACUUAGAGCUGCAAUGGACCAAAUUGGUGGGGGCUGGGUCUGGAGAUAGUGCAGCCAACACUAUGAAAGCAACUACAAUAGCCAUGUGAAGAACCCCAACAUGAAGGCACGACUGAAGUCCAUAGGUAAAUUUCCCCUCACACAUGUUGCAAGAAAUACGCGGCAGACAUUCGUGCUAAUGAAUAUUGAACUGAGAGGUGUCAUGCGACUAUCCGUUUGGGCGAUAUGAAAAAUAAUAUCACGAUAAGUUUGGGUCAUCUCUUUCAUUAGAUGUUACCGCUUUCUUAGGAUUUAAUUUUGGGGGGAUGAUAAGCUUUGUACCCGAGCUUAGGUGAAACUUAGAAAAAUCAAAGGUAGUAUGCGCACUGCGGGUCAUAAAUCGACACAGUUUGUGAACCUUCUCUCUAGGGAACACCCCACCUUUACAUUAGUAUCAAUAGAAACAUGCCAAAGCCAACCCUAAGUCCUAGAGCCUCUCCCCCGCUAUAUCAGCAAAAUUGAACCUAGGUGAAUGUACUAACCCAAUGUGUACUAACCCUUGGCUGACUAACAUCCCACCCGAGAUUGCACGGAUACCACAUCCGAAAAUACGUGCAUCCAUCAUGAACAUCAUAUCAUCAAUUUCAAAACUAUUUUAUAAUGUGCGUCGGAUCCCAACUCACGCAUAAUACGAGGGUAGGAUUCAAGCGUACAUAAUGAAUGCACUUGGCGUUUACGCAUAUGCAUCAAAUCAUUUUACACAAAGGGCAUCUUGUUGUGUCGUGAGUAUCAUGAUUUAAAACCAGCAUAUAAUGUAAGCCAAGACUCGAGCCAUACACCUACUGUGUUGAGAAGGUCCAAGCGCACAUUCAUACAUGUGCUUUGCAAAUUGGUGACGCCAUUUUAAAAACUAUGCAUUUCAAAUGCCUUUGAAAAAGAGUUCAAAAACGAGGUUUGAGAAACUCGAGGUUCAUAGGGGAAAAGCUCACCGCAACCAUUCGUUCGAUGGCAUCCAUAUCAGAGCAUACCAUUAUAGCGCAUUCCAAGAAAGCUAAAUGACAGGAACCAUCAACAACGAGAUAUGCUCAGAUUUAGACUAGUUAAGGGACACAAAUGCGGAUCUACAAGUUCUAAUCAACGAAUUGCUUGAAGCACUCCCAUGUGGCUACGAUGAUUCAAGUUUAGAGCUCACAAACGGACAAAAAAAUUCAAGAAGCCUAUGGAGGGAGUCAAAGGACUCGACGCAUACGAAGCGACCAAGGCAUUUCGACAUCAUUUGGUACCAAUGAUGGUCAUGCAACCAAAGUUUGAAGUGCCUGAUUUCAAAAGAUUCGGAGGCAUCACUUGCCCUCAAAUCUACUUGGCCAGGUAGUACGACCAAAUGACAGGAUACAUGCAUGAUGAUAAGCUAAUGAUACAUUGCUUCCAAUAUAGCUUGGAUAUAGCAUCCCAAAGGUGGUACGCAGGCCUCGAAAGCUCGAAAAUCAAGACAUGGCAAGUCCUGGUCGAAGCUUUCAUAAGAAAUUACAAGCACAACCACGACUUAGCCCCAAACAGAGAGGACCUAAAGAAUAAAAAGAAGAAAGAUGGUGAGAGUUUCCGAGAGUGUGUCCAUAGAUGGAGGGACGUUGCCGCUGAAGUUCAACCACCACUAGCUGACAAGGAAAUGAUCUCGAUUCUCCUUGAGACCCUCCGAGCUCUGUUCGAGAAUAACAUACUCAGAAACAUCACUACCAAUUCCCUUGACUUGCAAAUUAUCUGAGAAAGCAUAGAGAAAGGCCACUUCUAAGGAUCAAAGCCCAUCCAAGCAAGAAAGUGCAUCCAUCACGAAAGAAGGAAGAGAUACGUGUUGCUCGUAAGGGCAGGAUGGGUGAACAUGUUUCCCGAGGAAAAGGAUCGCCCUGACAUCAACAAGGUCCCGAUGUCGAAUCAUCAAACUUGUGUGACCGCAGGGAAAGUAAUGACCGUGGGCUCACUUUUCGAAAUAAUAAAAGUACUUGGAUGUUUUGAGUUGAGCAUUUCCCCUUUGUGUGUUUGUAUUAAACUCUGAAUUUCAAAAUGGUGUUCUACGUGAAACACACUAAAUAAAAGUCAUUUUCUUUCUAGCAUUCCGUGUCAAAACCGCAUUCAUUUUUCCUCGCAUUCUUUUCUCCAUACGAACUUUGGCAAGAUAACUGAGACGGGUAGGAGGAAUAAUAAUUAUCAUGACUUCGAAAUUAACUUCGAUAAUCCGAUUUGUGAAACGAAAACCGGGGAUGAAGAGGAAAUUGGGGAAGAAGUACGGUUGGACACCGUUUGGAUCUUGGAAUAGGAGGAAAGGAGUCUACAAUCCUUCUACCACUUGUUCAAGACAACUAAUUUGGGUACAUACGAGAUUAAGAAAGAGGUUAAGAUAGGGGAUGAGCUAAGCCCAAUAGAACGGGAGGAGCUAAUUCAACUAUUGGGGGAAUAUCAGGACAUCUUCGCAUGGUCGUAUCAGGAUAUGUUGGGUUUAGACGGAAGUAUCAUCACACAUUGCUUACCUAUCAUGGAGGGGUAGAAACCCGUGAAACAUAAGCUUCGAAGGUCGAAAAUCAAGUGGCUUCUGAGGAUUAAAAAGGAAGUUAAGAAACAAUAUGCGGCCAGCUUUCUCCAAGUAACCGGUUACUCAGAAUGGGUGGCCAAUAUCGUACCAGUCCCUAAAAAGAAUCGAAAGGUGCGAAUGUGCGUUGAUUACCGGGACUUGAAUCGAGCAAGGCCGAAGGAUAGCUUUCCCCUACCCCACAUCGACGUGCUCGUCGAUAAUACGGUGAGCCAUCAAGUGUUCUCGUUCAUUGAUGGUUUCUCUGACUACAAUCUAAUGAAGAUAUAACUUGAGGACUGGGAGAAAACUUCGUUUACCACGCUCUGGGAACUUUUUGUUAUAUCGUGAUUCCAUUCGGAUUUACAAAUUUUGGGAAGCAUAUCAAAGGGUAGUGGUCACUCUUUUCACGAUAUGAUUCAUAAAGAAAUCGAAGGAUAUGUGGAUGACAUGAUCGCUAAGUCCAAAAGCUAGGAGGAUCACAAGGAUACCCUCUUGAAAUUAUUCAAAAGACUAAGGAAAUAUAAGCUUCGACUAAGUCCGGAAAAAUGCACCUUCGGAGUUAUGUCAGGAAAACUCCUCAGAUUCAUAGUAAGCGAGAGGGGCAUUGAGGUGGCUCCAAAUAAGGUCAAAGGCAUUGCCGAAAUGCCACCACCUCAGACACAAAAGCAAGUGCGUGGGUUUCGGGGCGGCUGAACUACAUUUAUCGGUUCAUUUCGCACCUAACCCCAACAUUUGAGCCCAUCUUCAAACUCCUCCGAAACAACCAACCAUAUAAGACCACUACUCUUGUACUUAACGGUCUUCAAAAAUUUGGUAGGAACUAUGCUAGCCCUAACUGACUAGUCAGGGAAAAAGGAACACACUAUUUACUACACUAGUUAGAAGUUCACCGAUUAUGAGUCUCUAUACACGGACCUCGAAAGGACGUGUGGAGCGUUGGUAUGGACAGCCAAGAGAUUAAGGCAUUACAUGUUAUACUACACGACACACCUCUUUUCAAAGGUCGAUCCCAUGAAACACAUCUUCGAGAAACCCGCUCUUACAGGUUGCCUAGCAAGGUGGCAGGUUCAGCUAGCCGAUUACGAUAUCCUGUACGGCCAAAAAAGUAAUGAAAGGAAAUCCGAUAGCUGACCACUUGGCGGAAUACCCAAUAUCUAACUUGGACUCUUUAGUCUCGGAGUUCCCUGACGAGAGUAUUUUGAUCAUGAACAAAACACAACCUUGGAUCAUGAAAUUUGACGGGGCAUCCAAUGCCCUCAGAUACAGUCUAGGUCCAAUGCCCUCUGAUACAGUAUAGGUGUGGUGUUCUUGUCCCCCAAUCGAAAAAUGUACCCCAUCACCGCCAAGUGGACGUUCUACUAUACUAACAACGUCGCCGAGUACGAAGCAUGUUCCCUUGGUAUCUGAUAAGCCAUAGAAAUGGGGAUUAAGAAACUCAAAGCCUACAGAGACUCUUUACUCGUUAUCUAUCAGUUGAGGGGAGAAUGGGAAAUGUAGGAUGAAAAGCUUAUACCCUACCAUAAACACAUCAAGGUAAUGAUGGAAAGCUUCUAUAGCAUUGAGUUAGAGCAUAUAUCGAGGACCGAUAACCAAAUCACGGAUGCCUUGACUACGCUAUCAUCUAUGCACAUGUUGGGAGACCAAGACAUUAUUCCCCAAAUUUAGAUCCAAAAGCAAGAGGACCCAUCCUAUGUAGCUAGUGUAGAAGAGGAGUCAGACGACAAACCAUGGUACCAUGACAUAAAACCUACUUCCAAAGCAAAGGAUACCCACCAUGGGCAUCAGAAAAUGACAAAAGGACUAUUCGGAGACUCGCUCUAGGGUUCUACAUUGAUGGAUCGACCCUCUAUAAAUGAAACCAUGAUCUUACCCUCCUUUGAUGUGUAGACGUUAAAGAAGCAAGGUAAAUUGUCGAGGAAGUUCACGAGGGUAUUUGUGGCACUCACUCCGGUGGACACGCCAUGGCCCAAAAGAUCCUAAGGACAAGAUACUAUUAGACUCGUAGGGAAUCGGACUACAUCACAUAUGUUCGCAAGUGUCACAAAUGCCAAAUUUACGCUGAUGAACUUCACGCGCCACCAACCUCCUUGAAUGCAAUGUCAUCGCCUUGGACGUUCACCGUCUAGGGCAUCACUGUAAUAUGAAUGAUUGAACAAAAAGCAUCGAACGAUCACCGAUUCAUCCUAGUCGCCAUCGACUAUUUUACCAAAUGAGUAGAAGCAGCCUCAUACGUCAGUAUAACCAGGAGUGUAUUAGUUAAGUUCAUUAAGAGGGAAUUCAUCUUCCGGUACGGACUUCAUAAGAGAAUCAUUACAGAUAAUGCCAAAAAUCUCAAUAAUAAGAUGGUGAGUUCAAGAUCAAACACCACAACUUGGUCCCUUAUAGGCCUAAAAUGAACAGGGUAGUCGAAGCCGCUAAUGAGAACAUAAAAAAGAUAGUGCAUAAAUGCUCAUCACAUACCGAGAUUGGCACGAGAUGUUACCAUUUUCAUUUCAUGGAUAUCGAACUUCCAUCAGGACCUCAACAGGGAUAACACCUUACCAGCUAGUCUACAGAAUGGAAGUCGUGCUCCCCGUGGAAGUAGAAAUCCCUUCACUCAAAGUAUUGAUGGAAGCAAAACUAGAUGAAGCAUAGUGGGUACUGGCUCGAUAUGACCAGCUGAACCUAAAUGAGGAAAAGGGGUUGGUUGCGGUCCAUCAUGGUCACUUGUAUCAAAGACGAUUAAUACAGGCAUUCGAAAGGAAAGUAAAGCCCAUAAAAUUCCGAGAGGGCGAAAUGGUAGUUAAGAGCAUACCCCUAAAAUAGGGACCCUCGAGGAAAAUGGACCCCCAAUUACGAAGGACCAUUUGUGGUUAAACGAGCAUUCUCUGGAUGCGCCCUUAUAUUAGUGAAUGGCGACGGAGAAGAAUUGUUGAAUCCCGUCAACUCCUAUAAAGUGAAGAAGUACUACGCUUAAGUAUGUUCCCCAAGGUUUCCAAAAAAGAUUAUCGAGUUAUGCUUUGAGGUUAAUGAUAAUUCUUAUUAUUUUGUCCCCGUGUUUGUGCCUUGUUAAACGUUCAAAAGCUGGAAUAGGAAACCAUUUGACAGUCUUUGACUAAGUAGAUGUAUAGGUUUCCCGUUCUAAAAUGAAUAGAGUCAAAAGAGUUUCUUUCAAAACCGAAGGGAAAUUCUUAUUUAGAAAUGCGCAACGACUUUUAAAAUUUCCGAAAGAAAUAAACCACUUUUCACUGUGGGCCCGAGAUGGCAAGAGGUCCCCCGGCAAGUAAAUACUCUCCGUAAACAAGUCAGAAUUAGAUCAAUCAUCGAUCAACGAGGUUGCACGGUCAUGAUUGUGGCAAGUAAAAGGAAAGACAUCAUCUUAAUAAAAGAAAUAAGCCAAAGAUCAUAAGUGUAUCGAAAUAGCCAAGCCAUCGAUGAACGAAGGUGUGUGGCACGGCUUUUCCCCCGCGUCCCUAUUUUGUUUGCCAAUUCUCUAAACUCAUGCUUUCAUUUUAAAUUUCUUUACUUGCAUCCAUGUAUACAUUCCGAUACAUUUACUGCCUGGUUAAAAAAUAAACUCGUGUGGAGUGUUGAGCAGUGUGCCGACAUCAUCAAGACAGACUGUAAUAAAUAGUGCUUAAAAUUCUGAGAUAGACAAAGUGGUCAAGAUAAAAAGGAUAAGACAGUGUGAUCCAAAGAAGGGGACGCACCGCCAAGUCACCGCAGUCUCUCAAGUGUCGGCAUGAGAGCAAAACAAAGGAAAGUAAAUAUGUGACCCUUCUUUUUGUAAAAAAUGAGGUUUUAACCGUUUGCAAAACGGUGGGAUGCGACAUGUUGGCCUCAUAGUCGAGUAGCCGCGUAUUCAAACACCAUCAUCUGGACAUUAACAGCGGCAAUAGCACUAACUGAAGAGGAUUCUAGAAUAGCAACGGACAGCAUGAGCAAAGUAUGAAGGGUGGAGUGGAUCACUAAGAAUGGCUGGUGGCCGACAAGGGAAUGGAGGGGCAUCAUGCCAUCCUUCCUUUCAUCAUCUCAAAACAUCGAUGACAAUGGUUAGGAAAUUUGGUACCAACGACCAUAAAAAGAAAGCUUAAAACGAAUCUACCUCUCAUUCUUGACACUCCAAGAAAAUACGUUGAAUCCGUGCACCAAGAGCUAUCACUCGCGGCCGAGCGGGAACCUUGCAAUCACACACCUUGAAUUGCCAGUCUUAACAAGGGUUCGACUCAGCCAUGAGUAUCUAUGAAGUUACCGACCGAUCAACUCAAGGAAAAGAUUCUCGUGAAAGCCGAUAUAUUAUAAAGAGCCGCCCGCGACGAUAUUUAAAAGCGAUGGACAGACCUGCCAAUAAACUCCAAGGGAUGAAGCAAAUGGUGCACCUACCUCUCAAACAUAGUGGCUCAAACUUCCCCAGCAGGAAGCUAAGUCCCCACCACUAUUUAUCAACAAGGCAGAGUCGUGUAAUAUACGCUCAACGCUCCCAACGAAAAUUCUCAAGGAAGUUUCCUCACCAUUAUUUUCAAAAAUCAUAUCAAUGGUUUUAACUCCAUAUCAUGCAUAGUACUAUUAUUUCUCAUAUCAUGACAUGAUUACAAUUAAUCGGCAAAGAUUCUAUCCCUAACCUUAGGAUAGGAUCGUCCCAAAAAGAGAUUUUGGUCCUGUCUCCUAACGUUAAAUGGAUUUCUGCCAUUUUCCGGGUUAUAAACGGAAAAUCAAAAAUCAUUUCAAAGUAUUUUAGCCGUUUUCCGGGCUAUAAAUGGAAAACCAAAUAUCAUUUCAAACUACUUCGGCUAUUUUUCCGGGCUAAAAACAAGAAUACCAAAAUAAUCUUCAAAGAAUUUCAGCCGUUUUUCCGGGCUAUAAACGGAAAACCAAAAAUCAUUUCAAGAAUUUCAGCACUUUUUCGGGCAAUAAACGGAAUACCGAAAUUCACCUCAAUGAAUUUCAUACGUUUUUUGGGGUAUAAACGGAAUACCAAAAUUAUCUCCAAUAAAUUUCAGCCAUUUUACCAAGUUAUAAACGGAAUAUACAAAAAUUAUCUCUCAAGCAUUUCAACCAUUUUUUUGGUCUAUAAACGGAAUACCCAAAAAUUAUUUCAAGAAUUUCAGCGGUUAUUCCGGGGUUUAAACGGAAUACCAAAAAUCAUAUCAAGAAUUGUAGCCGUUUUUUCAGGCUAUAAAUGAAAAACCAAAAAAUCAUUUCAAGAAUUUCUGCCGUUUUUUGGGCUAUAAACGGAAUACCAAAAAUCAUAUCAAGAAUUGUAGCCGUUUUUUCAGGCUAUAAAUGAAAAACCAAAAAAUCAUUUCAAGAAUUUCUGCCGUUUUUUGGGCUAUAAACGGAAUACCAAAAACAAUUUCAAGAAUUUCAGGUGUUUUUCGGACUUUAAACGGACCACUUUAUUAUUUUCGCCUAAAGUCUAGGCCCAAAAGUUAUUUUCAAACGGAUUUUCCUCGUGUAUUCGGACGUUAAACGAAUUUAGUUGUUUUCUGGUCUUUAAAUGGAGUACCCUAUUAUUUUCGCCAUGUCUAGGGAAAAAAUUAUUUUCAAACGGAUUUUUGUCAUGUUUUCAUACGUUAAACUAACUCAGCUGUUUUCCAGGCUUUAAACGGAGCACUAUAUUAUUUUCGCACGUGCCCGAUAAAAAUUAAUUUUUAUUAUUUUAUUGAUGGUCCGGGUCUCAUCUUGCGAUUUGAUAGAUUUUAAGAUAGAUAAGGCAGUUGAAAUUUGGUGCUGAAAAUAGGGAUAAGGAUGGCGGAAUUAUACCCGAUAAUUGAAGUAUAAUUUUGGCUGAAUUUUAGGCGAGUUCAAUCGACCAGGUAGUUUAUCCGGUCGGAUUCUCUCGUUUGUAUGUAAGCCGGUUUAGGUAAACCAAUGAAAUUCUCGGGUAUAAUGUCCGGUUUCAUUAGACUAAUCGCCUAGACCGCUCAUAAGUGCCUAAGGAUAAAAGUUUUGAUUUAAAUGCGAUCCAAUUAAGAUAAUUUUCGGGCAUAUUUUGGUUAAAUCGGUUCAUUUGAGGUGUCAUUCAGUGUAAAAAGACUGUGUUGCCCCUGAGCAUUUAUUGGGUCUGCCGACCAGUCAAACUCAGCUCAAUUUAGAACCGAAUCGGUCUAGUCAACAUUUAUGUGGUAGGCUGACCAGUCAAACUCGAGUGGGUUCGAAUCAAAUCGGUCGGUUGAAUAGCUGAGUGGAUGGUUAAAAUUUUAAGAUCGGAUAGAGGAUUAUUUUCAUCUUUUAAAUCCAAUUCUUUCGAGAUAAGAAUAUUCAUUUAUGUGCCAAAUUUUAUUGAAAUCCCUAAGCUUAAUUUCGAAAGAUUUAGAGUGAUUUAUGAUUUUUUUAGACGAAUGUGGGUGAAAUCGCGAUAUAAAGAGGUAAACGGGUCUGUUUUACCCGAACCGGUUCGAGUUCAGACCAACCGAGCUAGGCCCAGCCCACUAGGGAACGCUAGGCUUAAGUGGCGGAAUAGGAUAGACUAGAAUAGGGGGGAGAUAUAGUAAGGGUCUAUUGAGUAUUCCACUACUGAUCUACCCCUUUUGGUAUGCAUAUAAUUUUGGAUGAGUUUUAAGCAAGUUCAAUCAACUAGGUAGUUUAUCCAAUUCGAUUCUCUCGUUUGAAUGUAAUCCGGUUUAGGUAAACCAAUGAAAUCCUGUCGUUUAAAUAGAAAGGUGCAGGGAGAGGAAAGGAAGAAGAGGAGAAAGGAAAUGCUGUUAUUUUGAUUACAUCCAGCAUAAGAGCAAAAAUCAGAAACACAUCAAAGAAAAAGAAACAAAAGAUAGAUUAAUUCGAUUACAACCCAUCAUUAAUCACCCUCAAGUCACACUCAAUACUCAUUUGAAACCCUUCCACUCUCCAAAAUCCCCCUCGAAACUCCAACCUUUCGCUAAAAAAUCCACACAUACACAUUCUACACACUCGAACCCUCGGUCUAAGUGAAAUACCACCAUCAAACGCCUCCACAGAACCGGAUCAAUCACCAUUAAAGCCAUCUCGCAAGGAAAAGAAGUCACCCAUUAGUGCUCAUUGCAAAAACUAACCCUCACAUCAAAGGUGAAAGGUACUUAAACGAAAAACGCUAAGAAUACCUAUUUCACUAAGCAUAUUUAGAACAUGUCAUCAUCAUCAUCAUUAAACUUGCCAUGAGUUAAGUGAAAAAAUGUUGGAUUAGGUAGGUUAAUAGUCACGAAAUGCACUACUAACCUUUCACCUUAGAUCCCUUUUGAUAUUGGUUUGACAUAUAUGCCUUGCUUCAUGAAUAUGAUGAAAGUUAAUUCGUAACUAGCUAAACAUGUGAUUAAGAGUUUAAAGAAAUCAAUGUGGGGGACUUUUCGAAAACCUCUUUUAAAUUGAUAUAGCUAGUUACUACCUUUGAAAAUGGACAAAACAAGGUUAAGUGACUCCUAGUGAAUUCUAACGUGUACCUAAACUGGCAUCACAACUCAGAAUUACCCCAGUUCCUUCACCCAUGUCAUAGCCAUAUAUAAAUAAAAAGACAAUCAUAUUACACAUUAAUAUGUAAGACAUGUGUUGGUUUGGAGAUACAACGCAAUUUAAAGAUGGGUUUGUUGCAUAUGAAUUAAGAACCUGAUCACUCAACAAUUAACAACCAAUAAACUGAAUCAAUCCUAGUAAAACCAUACACGAGAAUGAGUUAAUGGGUCUUGAUGGUUUGAUUGUGACUUUGUUUAGCCAAUUCAUAUUAUAAGUACUCUAUGCACUAAAAAUGAGCAUAAUCAAUAGAGGAUGUACCCUUAAAAUCUAAGGUACAUAUAGGUUUCUUUCCAAUCCACAUUUUCUGAGGGGUUUUGUAGUUGAUAGUGGAGGAGGGAGAUUGGUUUAUGAGGUAGGCAGCUGUAACCACUGCCUCAACCCACAGUGACAGUCUCAUACGUGAAUUUAUCAACAUACAACAGGCUUUUUCAAGCAAGGGUACGAUUCAUCCUCUCAGUAGUCCCGUUCUGUUGAGGGGUACCAGGUAUAGUGAGGUGUCUUUUGAUUCCAUUCUCAAGACAAAAGGAAUUAAAUUUGGUGUUACAGAAUUCCAAUCCGUUGUCACUUCGAAGGCACUUUAGUUUUAAACCAGUUUGGUUUUCAACUAAGACUUUCCAGUCUUUGAAGGAAUCAAAAGCAUCACUCUUUGCUUUCAGAAGUCUUAUCCAAACUUUCUGAGAGAAGUGAUCUAUUAAGGAAAGAAAUAUUUCUUCCCUCCAAUAAUAUCCACUUGGGCAGGGUUCCAAAGAUCAAAAUGGACAUACUCUAGAGGCUUCUCAGCGACGUAAGCAGAUUUACUAAAGUUAUGCCUAGUUUUCUUGCCAAACACAAAAUCUUCACAAAAAGAAAGAUCACUAGGAUGCUUCUCUAGAAGACCAUGUUUAAACAGGUGUAACAGACCAUGGUUACCAAUGUGACCAAGCCUGGAAUGCCACAGCUUGGUGUAAGCAAGAUCACCAUGCUUGACAGUAUUCUGAACUGAGUUUAACUCAGGAGACCCAACCAAAUGAUACAGACCAUCGCGUUUAACUCUAAAAAUUACAACAGAACCAUGCUUAACGACAUCCUUUAUACCGUUAUGGCUGAUGAUUUAACAAUUCAAGUCAUCAAACAUUGAUUCCGACAGAAGGCUCCUCCUCAAAGCAAGAACCCACCUGAUAUUUUGAAUCAACCUAACGACCCCAUCAUGCAUGUGCAUGGGGAUGGAACCAAUUCCCUUAGUUUCUAAAGUAGUGUGAUCCCCUAACAUGACCUCACCCCCACUAUACGUAGUUAAAGAGCUAAACAGGUCACAGUUGGGGAAAGCAUGAAUGUUACAACCAGAAUCAAGAAUCCAGUUAUUAGAGGAGCAUUUAGAGUCAAGCAAGAGCAAUUCAGAAUAUUCAAGGCAAGUUUCAAGGAAAUUUGAAACACUUGACUUAUCAGACUCUUUCAUUUUUCCAUCUUUAACACAUUGGUGACAGUCUUUAGCAUAAUGACCUUCUUUACCAUAGUAAAAAAAAGUCACUGUUUUGGAGUUGGAAGGAAGAAGACAUAUCAGUUUUCUUCUUCUUCCAAUUCUACUUUUAUCUUUACCUUUAACCAUUAACACUUCAGUCUUAGGUUCAGUUUUAGAUUCACCCUUAGGUUCACCUUUAGUUCUGAGCUUCUGUUUAAAGAUUCUGAGUGUAUCGUCCUUUUGGGAGAUAGCCUCAACAAUCUUCUUUACAGUGAGCUCAUCCCUACUAUAUUGAAUAACAUCUUUCAAGUUAUCGAAUUGAGCAGGCAUAGAAUUAAGAAGCAAAACAGCUUGGUGAGUUUCAUCAAUAACAUCACCACAUCGAUUUAGGUCAUGAGUCAUCCUAAGGAAGCUAUCAAAAUUUUCAGACAGAGACACAGAGACAUCCAUUUUGAAUGUAAACUGUUUACUAAGCAGAGAGACUCUAUUAGGCAAAGUUUUAGAUUAAAAAAUGGACUCAAGGCCUUCCCAUAAAGUUUUGGGAUCAGUGAAUGUUACUACUUGACGAACAACGUUGUCAGCAAGUCGGAUAAGGAUCUCUGAGUGUGCUAUCUCUCGUGUUUCUUCCUUCCUUAGGUCAGAGGUGGUGGCAAGCCAGUUUUUAGUGAUGGCAGCCCAACACUUCUCCUUUACAAGCACUGCUCACAUUUUGAUCUUCUGGAUCGCAAAGUCGCUGUUCCCAUCAAACAGUUUGAGACGGUAACCCUCCUACUUGUUUCAAGAAAACAAUAAGAGAGGUUAGAUCACAUCAAAGUCUUUCGAGCCAGACUCUGAUACCAGAUUGAACGAUUAGAGCGAGCAAGGCAGCUGAACGACAAAACCCUAAUCGCUGCAAGAAAUCGAACGAAAUCUAAACAUCCACAACAACAGGAUUGAUGACGUAGUUCAGGUCACAAAGACCCCAAUCUGCGGAGUCUCAGGAGGGGGAGACUCAGCCCGGAAAUCCACUAGAUCACAAUAAGCAGAAUCUGAGUACAAGAGCAGAAACGGUAACAGAUCUACCCAUACUAGCAUGCAACAACACAAGACGAUAUUACAGAGUAAGGACUCGGAGAAGAAACUAACCCUAAGGUCUCGAAGCGACGGCAUAAGCUCUGAUUAUCCAAACCCUAGCAGCACAGACAGUCCUCUCGAGACCUUCUAUCUAUCUUCUCUCUCUUUCACAUGCGUUCUAGUCUAUGUUCCCACAACUUCCUGCUUAUAUAGAUGGGCCACGGGUCAACCAGUGGACUGACCCAUCCGAUGAGUUGCCUCGGGCUGACCCUAAGAGUAUUGGGCAUGGGCCACAAGGCCAACGGGAUGGUUGUGUGUCUUUUGAGGAAAAUGUUCAAGAGGGGCUGGUCAUCCUCAGAAGGUGAAGGGGAAACAUGAUGCAUUGUCUUGGGUUGUUUAGUUGAGCUUGUUGAAAGAAAGUUGAAAGAAGAAUUAGCAUCUAGUCUUGCACAUAAAAACGCGAGUCUGUACACAAACGAAAAGCCGAACAUAGCAUAUGAUCGGAGAAACAAAUCCCACAUGUGAGCAGUUUGUGUAGGCUGUAGCCGGAAUUUGGGGAAGCAAACAAUACCAAGAGAGAUGAUAAACAAAUGCAUAAAAGGUUAUAAUGUAGAAAGACUCUAAAAAACUAAAUAGCAAGCAGGCAAACAGAGAAAUGGUUAGAUGAUGAAAUCAAGUAGAAGCAUCAUUAAGGGCCGAUAAAGCAGCCCCUGAAAACAUAAUUCCAUGCUAUUUCAGAGAUUAACACAAAUAAUCAAACCGUGAAUCCAAGAUCUUACAUCAUGGCGUUGAUCAAAAUCCCUUAAUUCAAACAAAGCCAUUCUAUCACUCAUAUAUCUAGCAUAUCUUUAAAUUGCCAAGCAUUUUCCUCAGGUAUGCAUUAAAUUGAAAUUUUGGUGGAAAUGAUGACGGGAUAACAAAGCAAAUACAGGUUAAUGUACAACCUGAAACCAUACAAAUGUUGGCUAAAUUGACCUAGCAUUCAAGGUAUAGCAGGGUGAAGUAGAAAUAUGAGCACGGAACACAACCAAACUAAAACAUCAUAAAAUUUGCAAAUGAAGGUGUGAGGAAACUGAAGCAUACCUGGGCAUCAAUCCAAUGGGUGCCAAAGCCAAAAAAGCCAUCAGCUUUUGAUGGGCACCAAUCUUCCAUGCAAGGAGUAGCCGCAAGUGGAGUCUGACGGCUCAAUUUGGCUAUUCAGCCGAUAGAUAGGUCCAUAGGAUGGAGCCGAUAAAAUCCUGGCCGUCAGAUUAGUUAACUCUUAGUGUAGAUUACAUCUGACGGUUGAGAACGUGUUAAAUUAAAAUGAUAUGGAUAGUGGAUAAUCUGAAAGUGUUAUUUUAUUUUCCUUUUAAAUUAUAUUCUCUCUUUUAUUUCCCUUAAGUUUAAUUCAAUCAUUAUAACUAAUUAUGCAAUGCUUAGAACAUAAAUUUUACUUUACGAAUGUUGUUUAUUUUAAUUUUCCGAUUCUAAUGAAAUUAGUCUUGAUAUAUUUUAUGAAAAAAUAAAAUUUUAAUAUGGUAAGAUAAUCCCAAUAAGUAAAAGUUAUUAUGAUACAGUUAUGUGAUUAUGUCAUGAUUAUAUAACUAAUAUGUUAUAUAAUUGUUAAGAUUAUGUUUUGUAACUUUUUUGGGAACAAUUAUAUGAUAUUUAUAUACGAGAAAAUUAUGUCAGAAUUACACCAAUAUUAUACAUCUAUUAUGUCNNNNNNNNNNNNNNNNNNNNNNNNNNNNNUAUCCACCUUAAGUUAUCCGGUUGUUAUAUAACUGUUAUCUCCGACUUACAAGCAUGUUAUGUUGCUUUUAUGUUUGUUUUGUAAGUCUGUUAUAUGACAUAAAGUGAACAUAAAANNNNNNNNNNNNNNNNNNNNNNNNNNNNNNNNNNNNNNNNNNNNNNNNNNNNNNNNNNNNNNNNNNNNNNNNNNNNNNNNNNNNNNNNNNNNNNNNNNNNNNNNNNNNNNNNNNNNNNNNNNNNNNNNNNNNNNNNNNNNNNNNNNNNNNNNNNNNNNNNNNNNNNNNNNNNNNNNNNNNNNNUGGUUAGGUCCACAUUACAAAACUAUAAUGUAAUCAUUAUGUCUAUUUUAUGUACACUUGCAUUCCCCACCGUCAGAGGAAGCUUUCUCGAAACUAUUGAUCCCCAAAAUUAAACGUAAACGUACAUCCCAUAAUAAUANNNNNNNNNNNNNNNNNNNNNNNNNNNNNNNNNNNNNNNNNNNNNNNNNNNNNNNNNNNNNNNNNNNNNNNNNNNNNNNNNNNNNNNNAAGAACCGAAAUAAAGAAAGGUUAGAAGAAAAAAUUGGAUCCAAAAACAAACAUAACUCGGGAAAAAAAGAUAAAUUAUCUAUACACACCCAAAAAGCGUAGUUUGAGAUCUCUUGUUUGGGAAACAAAAUGGACGAUAUCAACAAAUGAGAAGCAUAGAUAUGAUGAUUGAGUUGUAGAUUUGUCCGGAUCUGUAAGACCUCGUCAUGGAUCUGAACGGUAAACAAAAAACGUCAAUGUUUCCGUUCUAAAUCUAGAUUGUCAGCUCACUCAUAUCAAUGUAAAUUUAAUUUUCAAUAACACAUCAACAGAAACAAAAACACGACGGAGAAGGAGAAGAGGUUCUUAUGAGAGAUGAUUGCAGCGCCAAACUUCCAUUAUUUGAGAAGGAGUUCUAGAUGAGGAGUUUUAGCAAGAGGAAGUAAUUUUUGUAGAGUAGAUACUUUUGGAUUGAGAAAAAAUAGAGAGAGAAAAGAGAAGAGAAAGAAGUUAGAGAGAGAGUCUGAUUUUUGCAAAUGAAAAUAAAAGAAUGGAAAAGGUAUUUGAAAUUCAAAUUUUGAAAUGUUUUCUCAAAUUAUCCCCAGUUAAUCUAGGAUCGUCGAUUAAAUUGAGGAUGGAAUAAAAUGAUAGGCAUCAGCUCGGUUUAUAGGAUGCAUCCUAUAGAACUUGCUCUUGGUUGAUUAGCCAUUUUUCCGACGGCGAGAUUUUCACGACUCAACUCAUGGACGAAAACAGAAACGCAUCAUCCUAGAAGUUGAUUCAAUGGGUGCUUAGAAUUUCCUUUCGAUAGUAGAUUUCUUCCAUUGAGAUUUCACAAAACUGGUUUAACUCGGCGACAAAUUGCUCAAGAAGACGAUGGACGAAGAGAUAGUGUCCAUGUGUGAUCUGAGAGAGGACGGAUCAUGUUCCAAGAAAAGGAAACAGAGAACGUGGUGAUCAAUAACUGUGAAUGAGAAGAUACUAAACCAGGAAGAGAAGGAGAGAUUGACAUUAGAAAAGAAGGAAAAAAUUGAAAUUCAAAUGCAUAGAUGUGGUUAUCAUCGAAUGAAAUCACUUGAAAGGGAAUUAAAAGGGAAUCAAAAGUCAUUGUUCUGCACUGUUCUUAAGCUACAGUAGGCUAGGGCUGGUUGGGCCUUAGCUUUUUAUACUUUCAUGACUAGUCGAUCCAACAUUCAUCUAUCUCAUCUUCAAUAUAGUGUUAUAUCAAUUAAUGAGCAAUAGGGCUAGAAUUCGGAAUGGAUACGCCACAAGUACCCAUUUCAUCAGAUUUUAUAUUUCCUUCCCAAGUCCCAAAUCCGUUUGGAGUGACGAGUACCUAUAAACCCAAACGAAUACCACGAAUAAGGAGUUGGGUACCCAUUUAUCCCACACUAAAUUUUCCAAAUCAGAAACUUACUUCUACACUUAUGCACUUCAAAGGACCAACCAAUCUGCAAAAGUGCAAACUGGGUAUAAUGUUUACAAAUUCUCAUUGUUGAAAGCCUCUCAACUCCUCAUCCCAUCAUUUUAGUUACUUAGAUCUUGGAUUACAGAACAACCAUUUGUCACUUACAGAUGAUUUAUAAUGUUAAGUUUUAAAUGGUUAUAUUUGAGUUUUAUAUUUGACAUUUUAAAUUUUUUCAAAAAGAUGUCUAACUCCAAUGAUAGAGUCCUAUAUUUAAGAUUAUUACUUUAAUAAGUUUAACUUAGUGUUAGUUUUGUCAUUUUAUUAUAAUAAUUUGAUUAUUAUUUAUAUAGGUGAACUCUUUGGUGCUUCUGGAGUAUCGAGUACUCCCACUAAGUUAAAUUGAUCUUGACCGUUCGUUAUUGAGAACAAAUCACAGUCGUUUUAUGUUUUCCUUUGAAAUUCUAAUAAGUCCAAAAUUAAUAUACUUAAAAGGCCACUUGAAUCAAUUCCAAUUAAUAUGACGAAUUUCUUUCAUAUGUGCACAUUUUUAUUUAAACAUUACGCUUAAGAAUCACUUCAAUUUUCAGAUUUAAUUUUAGGGUUUAGGGUAAUAUGAUAUGCCACAAAAAUAAUGGUGUGAGCUAGAAUUAAUGAAACUCUCUUAGUAGAGUAGAGUGUAAUGGAAGAAACAUUACACAACUUCGUGUUAAUCGAGAUUUACUACACAUACACCAAGUUGGGAGAAUGUUGGACAUUUGGAUUGAUUAGAGUUGUGUUUCAGUGGCUUUUGUUGGGUGUAAGAUCGGUAAUUGGAAGCCAAUCAAAAGGAGUAUAUAUGUGAAACUUAAAGUGGAAGAGCUAAUGAAGAUGAGAGGGAAGAUAAAACGAGUUGGAACACUAUAGAAUUUCAAAUUCAUACCCAGUUUCUGAUUAACAUGAACAAAACAUUAUUUCUGGAUCCCUAGGGAAACCUGAAACUUCAGGUAUUGAAGGAUGAGAGAUUUAGAAGGCUAUUUGACAUGAAAAAUGAAAGUGGUGGAUAAAUCGCUUACCAAUACUAUUUUGUACAUGUUUGACACUCCAAAUGUGUAAUUCAAGUUACAAUAAGGUGCAUUAGUUGGUACCAAACUAAAAUGCUUAUAGGGUGAAUGGUGUCUCCAGGGACGGGGAAAGAUUUGAGUUCAAGAGGUUUUACAAAAGGUAGAAGUUAACACCUUCAAGGAUGUUUGUACCUCUGCUAAUUUGGACUUUAACUGUUAUAUUUGUUUGGACUUAAUAACCUUACUAUUAUAUUAUAUAACCUUAGCUUCAUGGUGUGCUUCUUAACAAAUUGUAAACUGUAAUAACUAUAGUGAAAGUCAUCACCACUUACAUCCAUAUAAAUCUCUUACACUAUUGAACUUAUCGAAGUGGAUCAUAGUUUCGUUAAACAUAUAUCAUAGGUUAAGUUUUACACAUUUAUACAUUCUUCCAAUAAUAAUGAAUUAUACUAUAUUAAUAAAAUUAAGAAAUGACACUUUCAGAUAUAGCCUCAAUGAACAUUCAACACACUCGAACCAGAAAAACUACAAUCAACUUACUGUAAUCAAUAGCACCUUGAUAGAGUAUAAAUUCGAAAGUUUUUAACCACCAAUUUGUUUUCUCCAUUAGAAUUCUAAAAUAUGAUAGAGAAAAGAAAGUUUUGAUUGUAAAUAUAGUUAUGUUUUUCAGUUUUGAAGAAAGUUAGGGUUUGAUAAUCAAAUAUGUUCUUCAUCUUGAGCUGAAAAAACCAAUAGCAAUAAAAGUUUAGAAAAUGUCAAUCUAGUACACACUCUCCAAUUUUGAGGGAAAAUUAUGAAAAUAUGGGAAUAAUACUUCUUCAUCUACUCUUUCACUGGUAUAUCUUCAUCGUCAUAUGCUUGAGGUGAUACCUGGUCCAAUUGCCUAUCUGCAUAUAACUCUAUUAGAUAUGUAUGCACUUCUAAAGGAUUCCCAAAUCGAUUUGAACAUACUCUUGAUGGGUUUUCUAUGAUGAAUCAUUUUUAUUCAUAGUUUGUGCAAAGAAGUAGUGUAAAUUUGUCAUUGCCUAAUUAAUAAACAGUAUUGUAUAAGGUAAUCCAAUCAGUUUAAGCAUAAACCUUAUGAUUUUUUUUUAAUGUUGGCCUCGUAUAAGCUUCCUAAACUCUAUAACCUAUGCCAAAAAUGUAACCACCAAAGUUUAUGUGCAUGCAAUUCCAAAGGUUUGUCUAAGAUCAAUUUGAAUAUGUACUUACGGUCAUAUUCAUGGCUGCAUCCAGUUCAACAUCUAGCUUCUGUUUUUUCGCUGAUGAAAUUUCAAUGAGAUUGUCUUCCACCUAUGACGAGAACAUAAAGUGAACACUUUGGUUGUAAUUAAAAAUCAGCAAGUAUUCUGUAAAAAAAGAUUUGUCUGAGUCAAUAUGAGCAAGUACAAUCUCUUUCUGACGUGAUUUAUUUUAGAUCCCAAUGUCUCUAGUUUGUGCAACACACAUAGAUAUCAAAAUUCAGUAUCAAUAACAACAACCUGAUUAAAAAAGUGAGACAAUAUAAUAGAAUGCACAUGCACCUUCUCAAUUUCAUGUGCUCUUUGUGUUACUUCGUUUUCUUUUGUAACCUGAGUAUCAUUUUACCAUUCAUCUACUUUCAUUACUAUUGAACAAAAUGAUCGACCUAGAUUUUUCUCAAUAGUUACCUUCUCAAUUAUUGCAGAUGCACCUUGCGCAUAUUCUUUCUCUUCUCCAAUCUGUGUCAAAUAUCGAAAUUUUGAUUUGGUUACCGUUCAUUUUGUUUCUUUGACAUUGAUAAUUGAGCUCCUUCUGAAUAAUGAUCAUAGAUCUUUUUAGAUGGAUACCUUCUCAAUUAUAACAGGUGCACUUUGUGCCGUAUCAUUCUCUUUAACAGAGGAUCCUUCAUGGCUGUUGUUCAUCUGGAGACAGUUUUAAACGCCAACGUUUAGACAUAUUUAACAGCGGAUUUUUUUAGCAAGCCGUUGUUAAGUUUCAUCAUAUAAUAACAUAAUUUAGCUAGCUGUUGUUAUAUAGGCAUAUUUUGAACCCACAUUUUGGCCCGUAAAUUGGUUUAAAACUCAUCAUAUGAAAUAUAUUUAGUCAUAUCUAACUAUAUUAAUGCAAAUUCAAGCUUGUAUACAUAAAUUCAGUAUACCAUAUAUGUACAUAGUACUCGUAUAUUGAAGUACUUCUAUCGAAGUGGUAACAACACUAAUGCACCUUCAACAACUAUAUCAAAGAACAUGCUAAUAAAUAUUAUGUAUAAUUUGGCCUUUUAAACAAAAAAGCAUACCGUAUAUUCAAUUCAACGGGUGAGUUACGCUUAUGUACAACAAUAAUUACCGAAUGAAGACACUAUAAUUACCUCUUCCUAAGUUAAGAUUUAAAAACCCUAUAUUAAAUGUCAAAAUGAAAAUUUAUCAGAUAUGGCCUUGUACCUUAAAGAUAUUAUAGUCCUCCUCAUCCACUCUCUUCUCUAGGUGACUUGGGUAUGAAUCGCAUGUUACUCAUUUUGUUUCGAGUUUUAAACAUUUAACAGCGGUUAGUAUGUAAUCGUUCACACGGUUGUUAAUUCAUUUAAUUUUAUAGCGGCCAGUAUUAGUCCGUUGUUAAAUGGUUGACAAUGCUUUGCUUUAGGAGAUCUUUUUUAUUUGGACGAGUUUCACAUUAAAGAAAAUGACGCCGUUUUUGUUUGCAUUUUAACAUCGAUUUUGUUAUAGCCGCUGUUAAAUUUUGGGUAAAAAUUCCAAACCCUCCCCUUUAUGAGAAAUGUGCUUUUAACAAGUUGCACACGAGGGAUACGGUCUUUGAUCGUCUUUUGUUGAAGCAGUGUACACCUAGCUACAUAUUGUGCGACAUCCAUGGAGAAAAAAGGGGUCAACCUUCUAGUCAAAAUUAAGUUUUUUCUUAGGGUUUCUAAUAAUGCACAAUCCAAUCUGGCACCACUGGUGGUCGAUGAUAAUGUGCCUCAGUGCAUCCCUUAUCCAUGAUGUCUUUGAUAUCCCUGAAAAUCCAAUGCUAAGCGACCAUUAUAUUGUCAAUUAUGCUUUUGGAAUUACUUCAGAUGAUAACAGUCCCUCUACGGCAGAAAAUGUAGGGUUCCUUUGUUUUUAUUCAAGAUGGCGAGGAAAAUUGUAUGAUGCAAGUUCUUGAAACUAUCUUUCUUAUUAAGGUUGUAUCACAUUUAGUACAUGCACAAGAUAAGUGAGAAGGCAUUGGGUUAAAUACUGAAACUCAUGCAAGAAGCUUUUGAAUCGGUUUGACUUCAAAAAUUAGUAUAUGAGGCGAAGAAUAGAAUGAAAUGUCUAGGCUUAUCUUACUAAAAGAUACACGCUUCUACGGAUAAGUGCAUGCUUUAUUGGGGAAAUGCGGUUGAAGAGUAGAGUUCUAGAACAUGUAAGAAGCCUAGAUAUAAAAAGACAAGGACCGGGAUAACAGUGACAAUGAAGAAGAAACAAGUGCACAAAAAUAUUCUGCAACUUUCGUCUAAAUCCUAGAUUACACAGGAUGUAAAUUUCAUCAAAAUUGGUUGUGGAUAUGGUAUGAUACUCAACGGAUAUUAAUAAGAACGAUAUUGUUAGACACCCUCGGGAUUGAAAGGCGUGGUCAAGCUUUGAUUUGAGGUAUCCCGAAUUUCCUACUGACCCAAGAAAUGUUUAUCUAGCACUUGCAAGUGAUGGAUUCAAUCCAUUUGGUAACAUGGAAAAAAAUCACAAUACUUUACAUGUGGUUCAGGUUUCAUUAACACUGCUCCUUGGUUGUGCAUGAAACAGAGAAGCAUGGUAUUUUCUAGCAUUAUUCUGGUAUCGAAACAACCAGAUAUUGACAUUUAUCUCCAACCACUAAUUUGGGAGUUGCAAAAAUUGUAAGAAGGAGUCCGGAUGUAUGAUUUUGCAAAUAAGGAAAUUUUCAUCUUGAAAGCCUCUUCGAUGUGGACCAUUAGUGAUUUUCCUGGACUUAGUUUACUAUAUGGGUGGAACACUCACACUGCAAAUGGUUGCGCAUCUUACAAUUUUAACAGCAUCCCUUUACGAUUGCUAAAGAGUAAGAAAUGGUUUUAUGGGUAGUUGACGCGUCUUACACAUGAACCACCGGUUUCAAAAACAACAGCCAAGUUUGAUGGAAAGAGGGAGUUGAGGGGGCCACCUGGUAUAAUAUCAGGGUCAGAAACUACUAGAUCAAGUGAAGGAUAUAAACAUAGAAUGGGGGAAAGUGGAAGACCCUAUAACUGGAAAGAGAAUAUCGUUAGAGAAGACUAAGGGUAAGACUACAAAGCAAUGGACAAAGUAUAGUAUAUUCUUUGAACUUCCUAAUUGGUAAUUCAAUGAACUGCACCACAACCUUGCUGUAAUACACACUGAAAAGAAUGUCUGUGACAACAUUUUAUAUACACAGAUUAAUGACAGAGCAAAGAGCAAAGAUCACUUGGCUACCCAACAAGAUUUGGAAAAUCCCCCGGUGCCUUUUUCACAUUGACUAAGCAGGAGGUCGAAACAAUCCUCCAAAUGUUGAAGUCUUUGUUUGUUCCUGAUUGUUAUUCCAACAACAUCUGAUGGUGUAUCGACCUAGCUCAAGGAAAGCUGUUUAGGCUAUAAAGUCAUGACUCACAUAUGCUUUUGCACGAAGUGUCGCACGUGGCAAUGAGAAAUGUAUGACAGAAAUCAGUAGUUGACAUGUUUGUGGAAUUCACUUGUAUUAAGGGAUUGAGUGUUAUAAUGAUAAACAUCAAUGAUCUUGAUAAGACACAAUAAAGGUUAUUGAUUGGAAUAUGUCACAUGAAAAUAAUUUUUCCGCCAUCUUUGUUUGAUAUCAUGGUUCAUUUGGUGUUGCACUUUGUCGAGGAAGUAAGAGUUAGAGGUCCUGUCCAAUACCGAUGAUGUAUCUUAAAGAAAGGAUAUUACGAAAACUGAAGACAUUUGUUCACAACAAGGCAAAGCCGAAAGGUUGUGUAACUGAAGGGUGGAUUGCAGAUCAAAGUUCAUUUUCUCGUCUUUGUAUUUGGGUAAUGGGAUUGAAACGGGACUUGAUCGGGAAAACCGUUAGCAUGAACCUCAUGAUGAAGGUAACAGUUCAUCUGAAAUUUUCUAAGUGGUUGGGAAACCGAUUGGUACUGGAAAGAUUUUCAAACUUAUGGACAUGGAAAGACAGCAAGCCUACCAUCUUGUGUUGGUUAACUCUAACACAGUGACACCAUUUUAUGAGUGAGACUAUUGUCAAAUUUACCUCUAAUAUAUCCAUCCACUAGGUAAUUGAGGCAUUAUCUGUAAUAUAAUAUUCACAUUACAGUGAGUUCCAGGGUACCAUUUGAUUGCGGUACAGAGGUCGUAGGGCAAAACAAAGAGCUGCUUUCAGCAAAUAAAAGUGAGAGCACGAUUAUUGGUAGCCAUGUUGACCCCAUAUUGACUUGUUUUGCUUUGGUUGUGAUGAUAUGUGUGUGGGGUUAGUGUCUCGUUUGAUCAUAAUUGAAUUUCGUGUCUGUUUCCCCUCAAACAGACCAUUUCAGUCUGUUUGACUUGUUUCUUUUAGUAUUUUCCUUCAAUACCGGUUUUAUUUGGAUAGAGGGUUCCGCUACGAAGCCAAUGUUAUGUUUUGAAGUGAAAUCCGAGUCCAAAUGAAGAAGUUAUAGCCAAAAGAAGAUUUGAGUUGUUGUUGUUGAAGAGUCACAGUCGUGACACAAUCUGUUACGGCCUGUGAUAGCUGUCACGGUCGUGACACAUUUUGUCAUGGCCGUGAUAAGCAAUCUAAUUCUAUUUAAUCCCUAAUUUGAGGUUUUUAGAAGGGGAGAGCCAUGGAGAUGAACUAAAAAAAAAAUUAACUAAGUGAAAAUGCUUGGGAGCCUAGGAACACCAUGUCAUGAAGAUUCAAAGCCCAAUGGAGGAUCUACCUUGUAAUUUGAUGAAUUGGCGGUUUGAAGUAUUCUCUAUAACUUCCAUGGAUAGUUAGGUUUUUUUUCUUGUUUGGGUUUUAUAGAUUCCUUUGGAUUGAUGGGAUAUUUCUUGCAUGUAGUGAUAGGAUUAUGGAUGCAUGAUGAUUGAUGUUAUGUUUUUCUAUCUUGUCCAUUUUUUAUCCUGUUUCCUUGUGAUUCACAAUUUUCUCCAAUUUUUCUGUUUUAGUUUUUCUGUUGAGAUUGAUUGCUGAGUUGUUUGUUGAAUGGAUGUUUGGGGGUGGUGCAGGGGGUUUUUGUCAUUGUUUUUAUAGACGUCAUCUUAAGGACCCAAAAUGUGUUAUUACCCAUUGACUUGUCAAUUUUGCGAAUUUCGAGUUCGUUGUUGAUGUCUCUGUUUCAUGACACUUUGAUUGGGUGAUUGGCAUUCAUUUUCCUAGCUCUGUUGUGAUUUUGCAAUGUGAAUACUAGUUAACUCUCACCUAGAAUAACUAAUUAUUUGUUUUGACUUGUGAUGAUUCUUUCCUUGAGCUCAUUUUCACCUAUUCUACUUAUGGUAUGGCUGAUGUGAAAGCUUGCAUUUUGCUGAUGCUUUUGUGGGUUUGAUAGAACUUUCACUUGUGCUAAGAUGCUUGUAUGUUAUUUGCUUUGAAUAUCUAGUUAUACUUGUCGCCUUGUUGAAGUUACUCUUGUUCGCUUGUUGAAGUUAUUCUUUGAGCUUUAGAUUGCCAUGACUUGUGCUUUCUUGGGUUCUUUAUGCUCUACUUGUGUCAUGCUACUCCACUAAAGUAGUUUGAAUUGAGAAAUUGACCUAAAUUUUUUUCACCUGGGAGUUUGUUGACCUGCUUUCGAGUUGGUUGGAUUAGGAAGCAUUAUGCAAUAUAUUGUUGGAUUGUGAUUGUUUUGUGCUUCGCAUUUUGUUUGGUUGGCUUGAUUUUGCAGAUAUCAGGUGUGGGUUUUUCUCAGUCUCAGGGACACAGUAGGAAGAAGAGAUAUGUUUCUGAGGAAGAUGGGAGCAUAGCUCGAGCUACGGUUGAUGUGCAAGAAGCUAGGGAGUAGCAUAUUCUAGAGGUUACUACCGCUGUAGUUGACUCGUUCCUGACCUUUGAGGAUGCAGUGUUUCAGAGUCGCUAUUAGAUUGUCAGUGCGAAGAGAGUUGUGGCUACCAAGCAGUUUGAUUGGACUUUUCUUGAUGCUACUCCUGUCCCUGAUUGGUCCUCUCAUAUGCGACAAUUUCUCAGUUGGGUUGCCUAGAGAAUGCUCUUUCCAUUGAUGAGCCUAGUUGCGAGGUAUUCACCCAUGAGUUCUUUUCUACUCUAAUGGUGAACCUCUAGGCUAUUCGAGAUGAAACUUUGGCUAUCACCUUUCUCAUGGCUGGACAGCCUCAGCAUAUGUCUUUUGAUAGGUUUGCAGUUGCCUGUGGAUUCUAUGAUCAGGCAGACACUUAGGAGGCUUGGUUUCAACAAGUAUUGAUCUAUCAGGAUGAGGAUGUUUUGACUGCUGCCAAUGCUACAUUCUGGACUAGAGUGCGGAAGGAGAAUAUGCCUUUUGUUGCUGGGAAGCUCAAGGCGAGCCUCUUCAGGAAUCCUCUUCAUAGAUUCUUUCAUGGAGGGUUGGCUAGGACUAUCACUGCCCGCGUGAGAGUCUUGGACAUAUUCUUGCUCGAUAUUUAUUCCUCAUUCGGGCUAAUGAUUGAUAGUACACCGAAAAAUUUGGGGCACAUUGUGGCUCAUAACUUGCAUCUCAUGUGCACUCCGUCUGCUUCACCUCUUUUUGAUGGUGCCUAUAUUGCUUGGGUGGCUAGACACUUGGGUGUUCUUGAUCGGUUCAGAGAUAUCCCAACCUACCCGUCGAUGAUGAUGGAUUCUGCUUGGUUGUUCGCAUGAAGUUGCUUCAUGUGGUGCAUGGUAUUGGUCGUAUAUAGGCUUUGAGAUGACUGAUGAUUCCUACAUUCUAGGAGAUUUUGUGGAUGAGGAGGCAGAGAUGAAUGCCAUGGACGCUCCUGUUGCCCCAGUUGUUCAGCCCAAUGAUGACUUCUCUCUUACAAAUGCAGUACGCCAUCUCACCGCUUAGCAGACACGGUUUCAGAUGGUGGCUCGAGCUGCUAUUACUGACCUCACCUCCCGAGUCUAUUGGUUGCAGCAGCGUGAUCAUGAUAGAUAUGGUGGAUCUCCCCCGCUAGGAAUACCAAAAUUCGAGUGACUCUUAUGACUUUUUCAAGAAAUCUACCAUUUGAUUUUUGUUUCUAUUUCUCUUUAUUUAGACUCUUUGGUUAUUUUUGCUACUCUAUUGUGUUGUUAUAGACUUUCUUUCACCCUAUAAAGUACUUGUGCUUGUGGCGGUUGUUGUCUGUGCUAUGUUCUUUUCUUCUUUUCCUAUGUUUGUUUCAGGUGGUCCCCAAAACUCCAGUGACCUUCGACUCAGGUUAUUCUACUUUGGAUUGUCUUUGUGGAUUGUUCCUCCCUCCAUCCUUUGUGCUUGUUCUUGACGGUACACUUUCUCCAACUCUACUAUAUGCUAUUCCCAUCAAGGAUUAUGUGAUGUUCAGGUGUGGGGGGGGCGAACUCUUGUGAAAGUGUACCGUGCUUGUUCUUUUUAUAGAUGUUUAGCGUGCUAGUUCAUUGUGGCUUCUUGUUUUGGAUUGAUGAUUAUUGUAACUUAUACCUCGCUUUCGAAAUGUCCUCUUGCUAAGAUCUCGUUUGUGAACCACCAGGCAUGUCACUCAAAACUAGUGUAUUAGGGACCCCUAGAUAUGAUGCACAUCGAUUAGCCACUCUCGUUGUCUUGUUCUAGGUUGUAGUAGAGUCUGUUUGUAGCCAUCCCAUCGAAUUUUCCUAGGUUGAUAUGAAGGUAAAACAGGAGGGAGGAGUCUGAAUGAGGUUGCUAGAAUAAAAAUGCCGUGGGGUUUGAUUAACACCUAAAUACGUGUGGCAACCCUUGAGGUCUGCCUUCUCCCCAACCUUUAUGAGGCUUGGCGCGUGGAUUGGAGACUGAUUACCUUCGAGUCCGGCCAAGGUUGUGAGUAUCCCCAUUUGGAAAAAGUAGAAAUACCGAAAAGAGUAAAAAAAGUGAAAAGUGAAAGAAAAGAAAAUGAAGAUGAAAAGAAGAAGAAAAGCAAGUGAAAGCAAUUUGUAUAUAGUAGAUUAUAGCUAGUAGUAGAGUCAAGCAAGCAAAUUAGAGGAGGAUGCUAGCAUUGUUUGGGUGUUGUGAUUUGUAUGAAACACUUGUUGUCACUCACCUUCCCAUCAGGUUCGGAAGAGAAAGCUCGGCCAGGACGAGCCAUCAGUCUAUUACUUCCUCUGUCGGCUAGGUGGCAUAAGUGUUUGGGGGAUUAUGGACACACUCCGAUGGGUAGAAACUGAAUCAUGUGUAUCAUAUGUAGUAGUCUGUCUUACACUAGUGUAGGGGACUCGGUGUUAUGCUUAAUUUUGUGGUUUGGUGUUUAACUAGUUACUUGGCACCAUGCUAAGAUGUGAGACCAUAGGUUAUGCUUUCCGUUCAUCAUAUUUCGAGUUCUUUGUGACUGUGUUGAGUAGAUUUUCUUGAGGACAAGCAAUGUUCAAGUGUGUGGAGAUUUGAUAGCACGAUUAUUGGUAGUCAUUUGACCCCACCUUGACUUGUUUGGCUCCGGUUUCGAUGAUAUAUGUUUGGUACUAGUGUCCGGCUUGACCGUAAUUGCAUUUCGUGUUUUUUUCCUCUUAAAAGAACCAUUUCGGUAUGUUUGACUUAGUUUCUUGAAGUAUUUUACAUGAUUGCAUAUGGCCUUUGGGUGGAGGUUUUGACUACGAAGCCAAUGGUAUGUUCAGAGCGAAAUCAGAGUCCAAAUGAAAAAGUUAUGGCAUAAAGAAUAUUGGAGUUGCUCAUGUUGAAGAGUCACGGCCAUGACACAACUUCUCACGACCGUGAUAGAUGUCAUGGUCAUGACACAUGUUGUCACGAAAGUGAUAGGCAAUCUGUACAUAACUCUAUUUAAUCCCCAAUUCGAGAUUUUUAGAAGGGGAGAGCCAUGGAGAUUAACUAAAACAAAUUUUGACGAAGUGAAAAUGCUUGGGAGCCUAGGAACACCAUGAGAGUGAAGAUUUGAAUCCAAAUAGCCAAGGAAUCGAAGCCCAACGGAGGAUCUAGUUUCUACUUCGAUGAAUUGGCGGUUUGAAGCAUUCUCUACAACUUCCAUGGAUAGUUAGGUUUUCUUCUUGUUAAAUUCAACAGCGGGUUACAUAUUACCCGAUGUUAAAUAUAACGGAUAGCUUAGAACAUCGGACUGUAAGGAGUCGCUAUUAAAUUUAAUAGUGGGUUUGUAGAUGUCGCUGUUAAAUGUAAACUAGUUUAAAGGCGGGAGCUGUUUUUCGUCGUUAAAAUAUUCAGCAUUGGUUAGUUUAAUGGGGGACGACGGCCGCUGUUAAAAUAUUUAACAGUUGUGUUUAGCCAUUGUUAUAUGGCUAUAUAGACGUUGUUAAAUAGGUGAAAUCUUGAGGAGUCAAAUUGAUAUUGAAAAGUUAGCUAAAAGAGCUAAUACACAACCUACAACCCUCAUAUAAGAGAGAAAAAUAGCAAGGUACACAACCAUGUUAAGUAGGCACGUACACGUAAAACAUAUGCUUCGUGCAUGAGUACAUUAAAUGUAUGAACAUGUAUUUAUGUAUGAGAUCACUAAUUAUUUUAUAAUUGGUAUGUAUGAAUUUUUAUUUAGGAUCACAUAACUAAACGCAUUUGGUAGAUUGAUAUGCACGUAUGAACUUGCAUUUACGACAAGAUCACUAAAGCAUUCAAUCAUUAAUUCAUACAAAUAAAAUUCAUUCUUUUAUAUUUUUGCCUGAACCCCAACAAUAUUUGCAAUAUGUGUGAACAAAAUAACAAUUCAAAUUUAGUAUUUAUUCCAUAAUCUAACUAAUAAGAUCGAACUAAUAUAUAUAAUAAGAUGCAACAUAUAUAUAGGGAAACGAGUGGAAAUCAUACAUCUAAACACCAUCUUAUAAAGAAAAUCAAAAUGCUCAGUCUUACUUGAUCAUUUAUUAUUCCUUCGACAGUAGUCUCUGAAUUUGCGGGAUCAGCGACAACUACAAUAUCAUGGAUCAUAAAAAAACACAAAAACUGAUCAACCACACAAGACAAUAGAAUAUCACGAAAGAAAACUAAGGGCUACAACUACAACUAACAAACCAAUGCAAAUAACCUCUACAACUAUAACCCUAUAUGAAUAGAAAAUAAUACAAAUAAAAAACUACCAACAGUUAGAGCCACAGCUAUAGGGUGAAAUCCUGAUUAUACCUUUCAUCAUCGCGUUGAGUCUUUUCCUUCGUAAGCUCACCAUUCUAAAGCCAAGUCCUACAAAACAAGGAAUUAGAGUGUUCGUAAAUUAAUCCACUACAAACAAAGGACUUUAGUUGAGAGCCUUCACUCCAGCACAACAACAAAUCAUGUGAACUAAUAGCAUCUAUAAGAACAAUCAACAAAAUGAUUGAAUAUAUACGAGUAUUAUGAUGAACCAAAAAAAGAACCCACCAACAACAAUCGACAAACAACCAACUUUCCUAAACCUAGGAGAUUUGAUGUAACUCAAGCAAUUCAACACCAACAAAAGCAUACAAUGACCAAAGGAUCAAGCCAAACAAAAUUCACUUAUCCAAAAAGAUUGCAACAUAUAUCCAUAAUUCCUUACCCAACCUCCAGAUUAAGCACACAAGGAUUCACGAUCUCACAACAAAUCAAUCAAACAACAAUAACACAAUCAAGAAUAUCUCAAAUCAACAUCACUCGAACAUAAGAGGAAUCAACUAGCAGUUUGCAAGAGAAUAACAAUAACAACAAUAGCUUUUUGAUCUAGAAUUCAACAUAUUAAACAAGAAAUUCAAACUAACCAAAAGUGGUUCUCUCUUAGGGAUGCAAUAGAGAUGAGGGGAGCAAGCAUACAAAUUAUCGCCGAGUUUUUUUUUCUUGAUGGAUUAUAGUGGUGAGAGCAUUCAAAGACAUAAGAGAAACGAAUAGUCAUUAAUUUCUGUAUUUUCUGUUAUGGUAAGUGGGUAAGUCUUGAUGAGGAAGCUAGCUGGCAAUGUUUAAUUGUGGAUUGGUUCUUUAAUUUUUGUAUUUAAUGUAUUUCUAUAGUUUUAUUUAUACUACGAAUCUAGUUUUGAAUUCCAUAGAAAAAAUAAGAUUUUACUACCAACUUUGUUUUUUCUCUUUAUAGGCGCAUUUUCUACCAAAAACAACAUUAACACACAUCAAAUUAACUACAAAACGGUGGACAAUGAGGAAAUGUGCAGAGUUAUAAUAAAGUAGUGCAGAAUGGUGGAAAGCGAGAAGAAAAAGCCACGAAUGACGAGUACAAAAUCAUUAUUCUAAUUUGUUCAAAGUUAGAAUCGUUAAGUUUUGGUUAUAACUCGAGCAAAAACAUGCGACAUUUGUACUCUUUUAUAGAGCAUAAUAUUGAAUCGAUCUUUAAUGGUAAAAAGCUUAAAAGAUGGAAAAGUCUUUUAAGNNNNNNNNNNNNNNNNNNNNNNNNNNNNNNNNNNNNNNNNNNNNNNNNNNNNNNNNNNNNNNNNNNNNNNNNNNNNNNNNNNNNNNNNNNNNNNNNNNNNNNNNNNNNNNNNNNNNNNNNNNNNNNNNNNNNNNNNNNNNNNNNNNNNNNNNNNNNNNNNNNNNNNNNNNNNNNNNNGUAAUCUCAUAAUUAAAGUAAAAAUUACUCCAUAUGAUUCAAGAAAUUAUCAUUAUCUCCACCAUUCUAUCCUAAAAUUUGAUAAUUUUUUAUGGGUGAUUACGACUUAUUAGAAACUCAAAUGCACAAAAGGAAAAAAUGAGAAUGCAUAAAAAAUUGAUGGAGAUAUUUUUUGAUAAGGGAAAAACUCUUAUUUCAUUGUGAUUAAUUAUUCUAAGAAGAUUCUUCAUUUAUUUUUAAGAAGAAAAAAAUGGAAAACAACUCUAUAUCUCUUGCGGUUUUUUUCCUGAGUCGAAAAACUCUAGCCGCCAAAGAACCCUAGCCAUCAUACCUUCAUAUUUUUAUCCUAUCCCUCUACGAUUCCGAUAGUUUCUACCCUCUGUUAGGGUUUUGUCCUCUACCCUCAAGUAGGGUUUGUUCUCCCCUCGAGUAGGGUUUUGUUUCUACCAUCGAGUGGGGCUGUUUUAGCUUCUUCUUUCACGAUGGCAGCUCUGCUUUCCCGACGACCCUCCAUGAUUCAGUCAAUGGAACGCAAGGAAGUCUACCGUAAGAAAUCAUUGAAAUCAACGAAGAAUGGAGGCCAUGCUCCAAUAACCAUGGUACGAGCGGGUCACCUUUAGGCGAUCCGCCCAACUAUGUGAGGAACUUCGGGUCGAUGAAGUCUCUGGGGACUGUCAUCGCAAGGGAUCAAGAAGCCGACUACGCUUUGUUGCUUAGUUGUUUUAUAUUUCUCUACUAUUUUCAUUGUAGUGGUGAUUUCUUUUCAUGUUUUGCUUAUGUCGGUUGUGUUAUGUUAUGUUAUGCAGUCGGGGAUAGUGCUAGUUGAGGGUCGUUUUCUUAUUUCCUCUAGUCUAGAAUCGAUCUUGGUCAAGCAGAUUGAGGAUGCAAAGCAAAGUAUCUGCAAUAGUUACCUGUGUUUCCCUUGCAAACUAUCUUAGGAAGAGCCUCCCGAUAGCACCAUUGUACUCACUUAUAUCUUUACUCGAUAAUAAAUGAUAAUCUAUUUGAUUUGUCAUAAAAAACUACUCUAAGAGGAUUAGCAAUUAUGCCCAACAAUACUAUAUAUUUUGUAAGAUCAAUAGAUAUCAUUGAAGAGAAAAAUUAAAUCAUUACUAGUUAUAAUCCAGGAUAUAUGUCAGCUCUUAUCCCCACUUCCAUAGAUCUGUUUGCAGACAGUCAAGCGAUCAGGUAAUGGAGCCGCCCAUUCAGUGACUCACAUGACUCUUAGAUAUCUUCCGUGAGUGAUGUCAGUAAUCCUCACUCAUUGGGUUGAUGAUUAAAUUUUUUAUCUGUGUUUGCUAUCUUCUUGUCUCCGCAAGGAGCCUAUCUAUGAAAAAAAAAAUACUAAAGAAUUCCUUAAACGUAUAAUCGAAUAAGCACCUCUCCCUCCCGCUAGGGGAAUAUCGCCUCCCUUUAGUCUUCUAGAGUUUUUUUUCUACCUCUCAAUAGGAACCCCACAAUUGCUACCAUGAUGUCAAGGUCAACCCCAGCUACCCGGGCUAACACCAAGCUACAUAGGCUAUGUGAGGGCGUUUGGAUCGAUGAAACAACUGGCGGCUUCAUCACAGAAAGGUCCGACUAGUGUUCGUUUUUAUGUCCUUGAACAUCUCUGUGUUGCUUUUGGUUUUUUGUUGGUCUUUCACAUGACUUUUCGUUUCAUGAUGUCAUUUUUGGGUAGGUAGUAGCUAGGUGAGUAACGGUAAAAUCCAAUUAGAUGAGAUUUCGUAAGGUUUUGAAGAGAUUAAGAAUGUGAAGUAAAAUAACUCUCAAAAUUAACUACUAUGCCCUUAUAACCCAUAUGUCAGAAACCGAGCCCAAUUAGCUAUUUGGCACUGUGUAUCAUAAAUAAUUUUAUUAAUCAAACGUAUUGCUUUUAUUGUAAAAAACACCAACAACUAAAUAAAUAAAACACACAAUCUCUACCACAUUUCCGCAACAAAAUGAAGUUGUGGAGGGGAACAAUAAGUUUUUACUAGUUCUUAUUUUGACUAUAUUAAUUAGAUCAUUAAACUUUCAAACCAAUACAUGCUGAAGACUUAUCGAUUAAAUUACUACCUAUUAGAUCAUACGCAAAAUAGAAUUGCAUACGAGCUAUUAAAGUACAAAAAAUUCAUAUUUUCAUCCACUUAGUGGUAAACAUCUAAUUCUGAGCACAAAAGAAAUAAAUUACGACAACCCAAUGUUUGUUCCUGUGAAGCUAUCCUUCUUGGAUUUUUUUUUUACCAAUAUCCUUCUUGGAUAUUCACGUAAAGUGUCGUAUAAGGUGUUCAACAAGCAUGUUUAUUAAGUGGAAAAAUAUAUACAUGUUUUUUACGAAAAAAUAUAAUUUUAGACAAGAUUAAAUUGAAAAUUACGUAGAUAAUUAACUCGAAAUGUAAACUACACGAUUUGGCAAUUCCCCUCACUUACAACGAGCCACGCAUCUUAGGAUGCGUCGCACGUUGUUUUGUUCAAGCCCAGUUUGGCAUCGGUGGCAAGGAAACCAGCAAGCAUGGUGUUGAACCUCCUCCGUGAACCUUCAUGGACUGUAGAACACGGUCUCAGCAAAUCGCCAAUGAAUUUAGAAAAUACAACAAUUGUGAGGGAAAGUGCACCUGUGGACUUCAAUCGUGCCUUCAUGUUAGGGUCCUUCACAUGGCUGUUGUAGUUGCUUUCAUAGUGUCGGGUGCACCAUCUCUUUACUCAGCCCCCACCAAUUUGGUCCAUUGCAGCUCUAAGUCUGACAUGGCGAUCCGAGAUUUAGCAUACGUUCUAUUUGUAUGUCACUAGUUCUUGUAUGCAACGGAGGAACCACACCCAGGUUUUAAUGCUUUCUUUUUCGAUGAUGGCAAAAGCCACAAUCAAAAUAUUAUGGUUUCCAUCAAAUGAACUAGCCAUCAACGGGGUCACACUAUAUUUUCCGGUGAGGAAGGUGUCGUCAACAUCUAGGACAGGUUGACAAUGUCGAAACCUUUCAAUGCACGGCCGGAAGCUCCAGAAUACAGAAUAAAACUGCUUUUAAACACUGACGCUUCCGAUUAAGCCAUCAAAGUGAAACUAGAGUUGGUGACAGGGUUACGACUCUGCACUUCGUUGGAAAAAUCUUGAAGUUUGUUGUGAGACCCCUCCCAAUUUCCAUAUGUCAUCUCCAUAGCCUUUUGCUUCCCAUACCAUGCCGCUCUGUAUGAGAUCUGACAUUGGAAAAGGUGUGAAAUCUCAUAUUGGAUCAAACGGAUCUGAAAGUGUGUCACUGACCGGAUAAGGUGCAUCAUCGCAUCUGCGAUGACAUUCACAUCCAGUUGGGUAGAUUCUACGUUGUUCUCGCUUCCGUCACAUGUGUGAAGUGGAGUCUAUUGCCAAACCGUCCAGAACCUGUCAUCUGCGCUGCUGGUGAUGCGUAACCUCCAUGGACAGUUAUUUGUUUUGUACGUAUAACACCUGACCUUCAAGUCCCAAGUCUUUGAGCGAGAUGUCUCUAGGGCUCGAUUGUUAUGCAAGGCCCCGUGUUUGAUAGCAAGACUGUCUCUUUCUUCAUGUAAAACCGUUGGCCGAUGUAGAAAUAUUGAUGGGUGGGGUUGAAAUCUCAGGACCUCCCUCCUAAUGGUCAACAGUCAUCACCUGGUCGAUGUUUUCGCCCAACGUUGUGCACAGCUCGAGAGGAGUGUACUCAUGUGCGGGGGGACGAGACGAUCUUACAGCGCCGGCUCUGAUGAUGAUAUCAACAUCCUCCCCCUCUGGAUGGAGAGGGCCAAUUGACGUAUCGUCAUCCUCCUCACUCAAGGCUUGAUCAUCUUCCCCUUCCCCAUUGUUGUUACCCGGAUUGUACUCAAACUCGUCGUCAAGAUCGUCGUCAUCCACGACACUGAGAGACCUCGUCCAUAUUCUGUGAACCAGAAGUUUCAAAGUACCCAGUUGUUGAGGAUUAACCAACACAGCCAUCAACAUCGAUGAUUGGACCUUAAAACUCGAAAUACAGCUCUAGAUUGUUGCAGAUAGAGAAGUUAUUUACCUUGUAGUAAAAAGCUCCCCAAGACCCUUUAUCGGUGCAUGGUCGGAGACAGUACCCAGAAAUCGUAUUACCGGCGACCAUAGAAUGACGAUAGUACACGGUCUGAAGGAUGGCCUUCGCCGGGAUAUUCAUUUUCUUUAGGAAACCAGGAAUUGCUUAGGCGAAGGUGGGGGUUGAACUCAUCUUUACUCUCCGAGAGUGCCCACCGGCAUACUAAAAUCUGAUGUUUGAGUUCAAGUAAUGGCCCCCACAUCAGAGAAUGGAGGCGAACUCAACCAUUAUAUAUUGUGAAAGACAGAGACAAGAACAGAGUGAAGAAAUGGAUUUCAAAACUUUCAUUCAUUUGCAGGAUUCCCCAACCGAUUUACAGCUGUCUACAGCUUUUGACCAUGGGGCUACAGCUUUUGGAAACUAUGGCAACUUUGGACCAUGGGUUGUACAGUUUUAUAAUUUACUCAACUUUGAAAAAAUUUGAAACAAAACUAAUUUAUUAAAAACAAUUAAUUCUUCUACUCAACAUUGCAUAACAAGUACAUAAAUAUUACAACACCCUAAACCUUCUAAUCUUCGUAUUUGCAGCCUUCAAGUCUUUAGUGAGAGCCUUGAUGUACCUAUCCUUUGACCGUAUGAUGCCUAUCCUCUCAUGUUUCCAUUCAGAAUGAUCAUGUGCCAGCUCAGCACAAAUAGCUUCAAUCUCAGCAUCUUUCUAACCAAGCUUCGCGUCCAUUGUAGCUCCCAUCUCGCUCCUCACCGAGUUCUCAGCCAACACCACCUCCAACUUCUUCUUCAACCUACACUUAUAGAAAGGACAAUUGAAGUGUUUCUCGAACUUCAGCGUCAUUAGUCUCGCUGCACUAAAUCCGCAAUCGCACUUCACUUCUUCUCCGAAGUAGGCGAACAAAUCCUUUGACUUGCUUGAAGACAUUUUGACAAAGAGUAGGAGGAAGUGAGGAGUACAGAAAUUGGUAUAACGAGUGAGUUCUUACACCACAAAAUGCACGAUUUACAUAGGCUGAAAAUACCGUUGGAGGGACCCUAGGAUGCGUCGUGCGUUGUAAGUGAUUGGAAUUCCCAAAUUGUAUAAUUUACGUUUUGAAUUGAUUAUCUACGUAAUUUUUGAUAUAAUCUUGCCUACAAAAAAAAUUUCCUGUUUUUAUGAGCAAGGUCCCUCUCUUUUAAGAGCUAAUCCGUAGACAGGGAAAUUAAUAUUUGCCGAAACAAAUAAAUAUCUGUUAGAGGUAUUUCUUUCAUUCAGAAAAAUUUUAAGUUUUUUUUUACUUUUUAGUUUCACCUUUAACAAUUUCACUCUAUGGAUUAUGGAAUGUUUGGAUUGGGUUUCUGAGAAUGGAAAUCAAACUACAAUACACAAAUGUUGCAUGAAGUUUAAAAUAAAUUUUGGAAUGGUCAUUUAAGAGUAAAUGACGUUAUUUUGUUACGCAUUGAUCACUAAAACCCGUCUGAAAUUUUUUUGCCCGUCUCUUAACACUAAAAAUCAAGUAUAAGCAAAAUAAAUAUACAACCCAAAAUAAUAAAACUCAAGUACAUAACCAUAACCCUAAACCCAGCACAACAAACCUAAAACUAAAAAUCAAGUACACGCAAAACGAGUACACAACCUACAACAACAAAAAAUUAAGUACAUAAUUCUAACCCUAAAACGGAUACAAAAAUCAAGUACAUAACCCUAACCCUAACCUGAGUAUAAAAGUUAAAACAACAAACCUAACACUACAAAUCAAGUACAAGCAAACGAACAACAACAAAGAAACAAGUAUAGAACCUAACCCUAAACCGAGUACAAAAACAAAAAAAAAGUAACCAGUAAAAUGAGUACAAAUUGGAAAAUAUACAAACCAAUCGAGGAAUCAAAUUCCUUACCUAUCCUUUCGAAUGGCCGAUAAGUUGAGUUAAUUCUACGCCCUCGACCCUGACCACGUCACACCAUUUGCUUUCAAAAUUAUCUUUAACUAGGUUUUGUUUAUGCUCUGUGAGUACUUGAAAAGAUUGACCAAACUUAAAAAUGCCAGAAGUGCAAUCUCGCUUGAUACAUGAAAUUCCAGAGAUAAUUGGAGAUGACAGAAAGGUGGGAUCAGAGUGCACGCAAUUGUCAUACCAUGAUGAACUAGAAGCGAGUCAACUACUAGAUAUCGAAUCGAAUUAAAAAAACUAACCAUAAAAAGAAAUGAAAACUAAAAUGAAAAAUUUACCCCGUUUAAUUUGGUACUCUCAUCUGUUAGGUUUAAAGUUCAAGAUAGGCGGUUGAGAUGGCUCCUUGCUGCCAUCAAAUAGACCUUCUUUAUUUGUUGCCGACCCAAAGUCCUCUUUUAAACCUUGAAGAGGAAUAACAAGAUUUCGGCCCUAUAUUUCCUUACACAUAAUAAUUUAAAAAGGAUAAACAGUACAUAAUAACAAGAUCGCAUAUAGGAAAGCAGUAGUAAAAAACUGUCCAUAUUAUAUUGUUUAUGGACGGAUAAUUUUUGUGUUUGAAACAAUAAAUGCACUCUUGACUUUUUAACGAUUUAUCAAUUACACGGUCCAUAUCUCUUCAAACAAUGUUCGAACGAGGGUGUUCAAUACCUAUGAUGGGUAUCUACUGCUAUCUAUGACUACUAUUGAGAUUCUGAGAGAGCUCCAAACUAAAAAGACUAUGACUACGAACAAAGUAAAUUGGGCAGAGUGUCUACUUGAUGAAAUUUUUGUUCGUCUCUUCUGUUGAUCGUCCUUGGUACUUAUAGAUAGUUGUAGGUAGUACGAGGCAACUGUUGCGGAGGUUACCUCCCACGUCGUGAUUGUGGGUGCAAUUUCUUCUCUUUUCUUUCUCAACCACCUAAACGUGGUGUUGUUGGCAGUUUCUUCUCUUUGACGACCUUGAUUUGUUAUAGUUGAUGGCUUAAUAAAAUGCCAAUGGGUUGUUGACAAGGUCCUUAUUGCUAGGAAGCAACUUAUUUAACUUAUUUUUAAGUAAUAUAAAAUUUUAUGGCUUAGUGAAACCAUGUAAACCGCAAUACACCGACAUGAUGAUAGGUAAUCAUAAGAGGUAAGGUGAUCGAUGGUGAGCUGACAUUUAGUCGACGCUCAACUCUAUUGAUGCCUUAAUUUAAUAAAUCCAUAGUCGACUAGGAGACGAUCGAUGCUAUGCAGUAAAUAUUUAUUAGUUUAAUAAAAUCAUUCAAUUAUUUUUCAUCGUUGAUAAUCAAGAAGCAAUCGACUAGGUGAUCAUCGAUAGUCAGCAAUGAGAUAUUAUUUAUUUAUGGCUUAAAUAAACCAUUAAUAUCUUGGACCAUGAGGUAGUUGACUGGGUGAUAGUCAAUAAACAAUGUGACCAUCGAUAGGGAGCUCAGAUUCAACUGGGUAACGUUCGAUGGCUUAGGUCCAUUAAACCAUAAUUAACAAGGAGUCGAUAGAUGGAAAGACUGUCGAUGAAAGGUAGCCGACGAAGAUAACUUUUAAAUUAAUCAUCCAAUAUUCUCAACAUUGGCACUAGAUAAACUGAGAGACUGUCAAGGGGAAGACUAUCAACGGCAAUAUCGUCGAACUCAUCCUUAUCUAAAGUUCUCGUGGAAACCAGCGAAUGAGAGACCGUCGAUAGGGAGGUACGGAUUAGGUAAAUACGAGAAAAUAUUUAUUUAUGGCUUAAAUAAACUAUUUAAUAGUUUUUGCAUUGGUGAAGCAGUCGAUCGAGAGACCAUCGAUGAGAGGCAGAAAUAAACUUGGAUUGGCUAUGAUAAUUGAAUAAUAGCUUUAUCAUAAUUAAAAGUGAUGUAUAUCAUAUUUUUUAUGUAAACAAAUACCCCAACAACUUAAUGUUUAAGGAUUAUAUACUACAUUCUAAACACUAAUACUUCUUCUAUUCAAAAAUUCACUUGGCACAAUCAAUCACACCAAAAAAUCAUGACCAUAUCCAUAACAUCUGGCCAUAAAAAGGUAGAAAAGGCUUAGUCAUUUCCUGCUAAUUCCUUGAUAGAAACACAUUAAUAAUUCCCAAUAGGGAAAAUAAGAUACCAAAGCCAAAGAGGGAGAGAAACAUAAAAACCCUAAGCUUUAACGUGUUUUACCAAUAUUAAGGGUAUUAUUACUUUUUACUCCUUAUUAUUCGUGGCAAGAUCAUGUCCUUCUCCUAAUAAAAUUUGACCCCAUAAAUCUCCCUUCUUCAACAAGGAUAAGGAAAAUAUUACAUGAUAAAAAUAAUCCUCUCUCCCCAAAUCUUCACCGUGUCAUGAUUUUCACAGUCAACAUGCAUACACUUUUUUUUGCCUUACCAUGCUUGGCAAAGAUAAAUUACAAGUAUCCUUCUUCUAAUUAAAUUUAACUUUUUGAAUCGUUUUCCUCAAUCGGAAAAAGAUAUUCGAAACUCCAUUUUUAUCUUUAAACAGAGCUCAUCACAUCUUUCAUCCUUCACAAUUCUCACUUACACAAUUGAAAAUCUUAGAAGCACAAAAUCAUACUUUAGAUAUCUCAACUUCCAGCACAUACCUAGUAAGAGGCAUAGAUUCUUUUUCCCUUCUUUUUUACUAAUCGCCAAUGGCCACUGGCCACUUUUUAAAUUAUACUAAAAAAAUAUUCAUGUGCUAUUCACGCAGCACUAUUCGAGCAGUAUUCACAUCACUGUUCAUCGUGCAGUACUAUUCAUUCCAAUCUUUUUUUAAAGAUCAAUAUUGUAAUACUUUGAAAUUCUUCUUGAUACAAAAUGGCUAAUUCAAAAAUCAACCGAGUAUAAAAUAUUGUGCGAAGAUGAAAGUGUGGAUAUGGAUGACCGCACAUUACUUGAUGAUGGAAAAGCUAUAUUGAGUCCUUACUUCACCAGUGUCAAUGUAGCUCCUAAACUUUCUCAUCUCAAGUAUCCAUACAAUGGCGCGCCCAUAUUAGUCAAGAUUCUACCUAAAAAAUCUUAACAUUCCUCGUUUCUAUCUAGUAAAUUGAAAAACCAUAAACCAAUCAACUCUUGGCCAUUGAAGGAUUUAGAUUUCAAUAUUUGGUAUGGACGACUGCAUAACGAUAAGGCUACAAGAGAUCUUUGGUCAAAGGCAGGCAUCUCUAGACUGUUAUCGAUUCCAACUAAAAUUCCGAAAUCAGACAAUCCAUUAUUUAAAGCCGCAUUAUGCUUAUGGAGCACAGGGUCCAACUUUUUUAUCUUUCGGGAUUUGAUAGGUGCCACGACAAUCACUCUCAUGGAUAUGGUCACCAUCACUAAGCUCUGUCUACCCUCCAUUAAUAGUCAGCCAACAACAACUAAGGAUGAGUAGUUUGCUCUUGAACCUAAGUCUUCGCUUCCAUAUAUCAUGGCAUGUACACUCUCCCCCGACAACUUAUUUCUACACCUUUCCCUACAGGGUCUGGUCCUCUAUGGCUGGUAUCUAUAUGGUUGUAUACCUAUUUUUCCAAGUUACGAGGAGAUGUGAUCCCCCCAAGCAAUGACAGUCUGCAUUACUCAUAUGGCAAUGAAGUCAUAACCACUCCUUCCCUGAAAAAGGAUUUCACCUAUUAUUUCAAGUAAUUUUAUUCCAUAGUUUCUCUCGUAUGCUUUGGUCCCUUUAAAGAUCGUAGUCUGAAGAACUUAUCCUUCACGUGAAUUCAUAUUAUGAGGCCUGACGUCAACGACCCAAUGUUUGGUUUUUAUCAACGGUAUGUCUACGAAUGGAAAAACUUGAUUUCUACAUGGGAUCUCUUCAUCAACGUUUUUUUGGUAAAAAAACAUAAUAAUGGCAGAGAAGUAUAACCCGCACUAUGUCGCUCGCCAGUUUGGCCUUACUCGGAUGUGGCCCGUGUCAAUACCAUAUUCAUCCCAAUUUAGUGCUUUGGAAAACCAUACCACAUUGUUAAAGGAAGUGGUCCAAUGAUUAUCCUCAAUACUGUGCCAACACAUGGCAUCAAUAUAUUUCAACCACUUCACCUCGUCGCCUCCUUCAUUUAAAACUCGACUGAAAGAGGUCAUUAGAGAUAGUCUCAUCUUUGACACUAAUAUGAAUGUUGUUGCCCAAGGCCUACUCACCGUGGUUUCAAAUGAUAAGAAACUAAACUCUGAUCAUGAAAAAGAAGGUCCACAAUCAUCCAACACUUUUUCUACCAAGCAAGUUAUAUGUAAGUGUCUUACUUGAAUUAUUUUACCAUUGUUCAUCAUUUUUUUUAAUAUGUCCCAAUCACUUUAUCAUUCAUUGUGACCUCUUCAACUUCUAGCCCAUCCGAAAACUUGUGCCAAACACCCAAACCACAUUGGGUUAGCGACUCAUCAUCCACCCAACACGAUGGUUACCAGACAAAUACCUUAAACACCCAAUCUUACUUUUCCUCUUUUGUUUACGUGGUCACGAUGCCUUAGAUUACACCAAUGAUUUCAUCUUUUUUUUACGUGGUCACCAUGCCUUAAAUGGUGAUGUGUCCCUUGAUCUUGAUGAGACGAAAGAAUAUCAAGGUGAGAUAGAUAUGGAUCAUGAGAUAGAUGACGAGACAUGUGAUAAUCCCUCAUAUGUACUCAACCACACAGAAAAGGUCACCUACAAAUAACAAAGACAGUAGAGUGGUUACUUCUACCCUAACAUUUCACAACACCCGGUCGCAAACAUCAAAUCCUCUUCGGCCAACCAUGACACAUAGCUCAUAAUCUAUCCCUCUUGGAUUUCUAUCUUUCGCUAAUAACUCAAAACUUUCCCUCAAGUGCAUUAAACUCUGGUAAAGCCCCUUUUUCAAUUUCCUCUAUUCAUUUAUUUUUCCACAGCUAAGAAGGUGUUGGAGCCAUCAUAAUGAAUAUCGUGUUGGAGGAUCACGAUGGUCUAUCCCAUGACCAAUCGUUAUCCAGGCCCAAUAACGUCGCUGCCAAGCUGAUUUGUCACCUCCCAUAUCACAAGAUGCUCGUACUGAUCCUACACUUAAGGCAACUGGGAUCACCAAUCAGGCAAACUUCACUCAUGUUAUAAUUGGUCUUUACAUAAAUCAAUAUUUCUUAAGUAAUUUUAGAUUACUUUUCAGGGACAUACUAACCUUGAACGUGAGCUUGAAUACUUGGCUGCUUUGGAAAACCAAUUUUCGGGAUCCACACCCAACACUUGGCUGACUAAAGACUUCCUCUCUCAACCCUUGAAGGAUAUGCUUAGAUCAUUCAAGGUUGAGUGGCCUAGUGAUGCCUUUGAUUUUCUUGUUCGUCCAAAUAUCAAGCUCUCAUUCUUAGGACCAAACAAGACAUUGAUGAAAACUCUCCAAGGCUCCUCUUCCGGCAUCAAGACAUGGCUUGGCGUCCUUAAACAAAAUCAGAGUUUCAAAUCCAAAUGCCCACCCAAGUUCACAAAAGGAGCGUGGCAUGUCAAGUCAUUAGAGAAAAACCAACAAUAGGUAAAGGCCUAUUUAGUGAGAUGGCAAGUUUGGAUGCAAAGGAGGUAGCAUGUCAAAACUGGAUAUCAGAGUUGGAGGCUGAGCUUCUCCAUUUUCACAAUGAAGUAGGUGAGAUCCAAACUCAAAUGAAAACCAAAUCCGUCAACUUCAAAGAAAUCGUGAAUGAGGUUCACAUAGCUAAUGACAAAGAAAAGUCUCGCAUGUCCAUGGAUCAAGUCAUCUUGCAGAAAGAGCACAUUAUCCAGAUACGGGUAGAAAAUAUGACCAAACUGAUUACCCCGAAUACCAUCAUGGAAGAACUCCUCAUUUUUUAAGUCUAAUCAUAAGCCAUAACUUCCUCAUUCUGUUCAUGUUUCUUUUCUUUUGUUUGUCUAGUUUUCUAUUUGCUGCACCCAUUAUUUUUGUCACAUAUGGGCUGGCGUUUUGAGGCUCAAUCUGGGCCGUCCAAUUUCGAAAAAAGAAAAAUAAUUUACAAAAGAAGCACUCAACUUAAAUAGUGUAAUUAAAAAGUCUACAACUUUUCCAUUUUGUCAAAUGAGGAAUUGGUCUUGGUGAAUUUUUUUAAAAUCAUCAUAACAUCUUCAUAGUACUCCUAGCAUCACCUAAAGUUUAUAUUUUAUCUUUGGAUGUCAACAAACUAACACAUCCAUCAUUGUAAUAUUUUUCAGCAAGCUCAGAGUUCAGGGGACUGUUUUGGACCGAUUGCAGGGUGAAAGUGAUCGAAAGCACAGUGAAGUUUCAGCCAUGAGGAUGAACCUUGUGGAUGUGCACAAGUCGCAUUACCGCGGCACCUGACACAUUAGCCUGUAAAUGUUUCAAUAUCUUAAUGUAAUUUUGUACAUUUAAGAAUCAUGUGCAAUUUGAAUAAUAAUUUUAUCUAUUGUUAUGGUUACUCAGCCAAACCAAAACGGGUGAAACAAAGUUAAAUUGGUAGAGUACUUUUAAGUUGUGUGUAGAUACAAAAAUUAUUAAAUACACAUACGGACAUACGGGUAAGAUGUGGAUAGUAAAAUAUCAUUUGUUAAACCGUAAUAAAACUUUAAACAUUCAAUCAAAUCAUUAUUUAAUUAAGUCAUGACCGUAGCCCGUACAUUGCCGCGGCGCCACCAAGCACAUUAGCUUGUUUUCAUAUUUUAUUUGGGGAAGGUUUUGAAAAGGAGAAAGGUGUUCCAUCGAUAAUUACAAGGAGCCCUUCAUGGGUUAACGUAAAGAUGGGGAAAAAUCAUAAUUGCAAGAAGAGCUUACUGAGUGGAUAUGUUUAUUAAAGUUAUCUAGACUUUAUCUCAUACAAUCCCGAUAUAAUUAUGAUUUGAUCGCAGUUUCAUGGUUUAUAAUUAUUUAAAUGGAAAAUACUUACGGUUAAACUAAACUCUUCACAUCCACAUAAUGACUCAUAACCCAAUUAACUUACAAAUAAACCUCAAUUGACCCAUUAAAAGAAUCUUGAAUGAAUGAUCAUAUUAUAUGAGUUUAUGUUUGAUGAAUAUGUGUGACUCAAAUUGAAUCAACCCAAUCGGUGUUCUGAAUUGGUUAAGACAUAAUGAUCUGUAUAACCCUAGCCUUACCCCCACCCCACUAAUAUCCUAAUGGCUACUUUUCCUCUUACCCGCACAGCUCCGUCUCUCCCAUCUCGCUACAGCCUCCACACCACAAACUCACUCCAUUAUGGCCUCAAAGCAGUAGCAGAAGUCUGGCUCGCCGAAAAACUAGAAUGAAAGGGUCAACUGGCGGGCAGACUUCCGGAGGUAGCGUGCUCAACCUGCAACGCUCGACCCUGACCGACACCACCAUCGACGAUGCUGAUCCCAAUGUCAUGACAGUUGGACUGCGCACUACUCAAAUCAACAAAGCGGGACACACGAGUGUGUUUCCCUCACCAACAUAGAUUCUCACGGGGGUUGCGAAGUAGUCCUCGCUCCAGCAAUGUCACCUCGAGGAUCGGCCUUGCACCUUUUAUUUUGUCUUUGAGAUUCUUUUUUGCGUCAGUUUGAACUCUUUCCUUUGUUUUCUUGCUAGAGCUUAUAGGGUGGGUAAAUUAGCGCCUCUCACUUUAGUUCGGUCUUGUGAUCUAAAAGGCUUUGCUAUUGAUGAGAGCUUACACGUGGUGCAUAUGAUCUUGUGUCAUUGCAACCCCCUUGUAACCCGUUGAGUUGCACCUCACGGUUUACCACCAAUACGUUGAAUGUGGCUUCGUUGCAAAUUUUAAUAGAAUUAUGCGUAUGUCGUUUCAUAAAAAAUGUAACUUCAAUCGGCUUGUUAAAAGAAUCCUGAACAAAUGCUUAGGUUUUAAGGAUUUCUCCAAUUGAGAUAGACUCAAUAUUGAUUAGCUUUCUGAUUUUGUCCAGAGUUAAUGAUGCGUAACUUUAUUAACUUACGAAAAGAGAACCUUAAUUUGGCAGUUUAGAAAAUACUCGAUUAAAUCAUUUAAGUUUUUUUUAAUGUCUAUAAGAUAUAUGUUAUUAUAUGCUAUCAUAUAUGUUAAGAACGGUGAAUUCUUCAGUAUACCUGGUUACCGAAACUUUCAGUAUGCCUAGUUUUUUUUGGUAACGUAAAUCCAUCACCACCGUCCAUUUUCAGUUUGCGAUCUCGACGGUUCAUAAUUAUUCAAAUAUUAAAUUUUUAUUUCACAUUUUAUUUUUGUUAUUCAAAUAUUAAAUUUUUAUUUAACAUUUUAUUUUUGAUCUCAUAUGUUUUCUCAAUUUGACAAAAGAUCUUGUUUUCUCAAUUUGACAAAGGAGCUUUAGCAAGCUAAGGCAGCAGCUCAGAGAGCAAGAGAGGAAGACGAAGGAAACACAACUCCAAAAAAUGCAGUAAAAUAAAAAAAUUCUGAUGCUUCUAAACAAGACUUGGGACAUUCUGCAACUGAAAAACAAACAAAACACAAUGUAUGGCACCCUAAAGUGACAGCAAAAAAUAGAAGCAACAAUUUCAAUUAAACCACAUGAUAUUUUUUAUUUGAAAUGAUAUGAAAUUUUGGAUCAAUUACAAUCCAAUUUCAAAUCGCAAACUGAAAUCAAAAAUAAAAUGUGAAAUAUAAAUUUAAUAUUUGAAUAAUUAUGAACCGUNNNNNNNNNNAAUUAUGAACCGUCGAGAUCGCAAACUGAAAAUGGACGUUGGUGAUGGAUUUACGUUACUAAAAAUAACUGGGCACACCGAAAAUUUUAGUAUCCCUGUUAUACUAAAGAAUUCAUCAUUAAGAACAUAUAUGCUAUUAUAUAUUAGGAUUUAAUGUCGAAUGAAUCGUAUCAUAGGCCCGUUACAUUGUUAAGGAACAAAUUUCUUGAAGGUGCUUGAAAUUGUUUAUCGUAUAGUAGAUUUCAAGACAUCGUAGAAUGUUUUUUUAAUUACAUCGUAGAGUGUGUAUUGGUUGAACUCCUUUUAGAAUCAUUGAGUUUGUUAGUUGAACCUUAUAUUGUUUUGACUAACGAUNNNNNNNNNNNNNNNNNNNNNNNNNNNNNNNNNNNNNNNNNNNNNNNNNNNNNNNNNNNNNNNNNNNNNNNNNNNNNNNNNNNNNNNNNNNNNNNNNNNNNNNNNNNNNNNNNNNNNNNNNNNNNNNNNNNNNNNNNNNNNNNNNNNNNNNNNNNNNNNNNNNNNNNNNNNNNNNNNNNNNNNNNNNNNNNNNNNNNNNNNNNNNNNNNNNNNNNNNNNNNNNNNNNNNNNNNNNNNNNNNNNNNNNNNNNNNNNNNNNNNNNNNNNNNNNNNNNNNNNNNNNNNNNNNNNNNNNNNNNNNNNNNNNNNNNNNNNNNNNNNNNNNNNNNNNNNNNNNNNNNNNNNNNNNNNNNNNNNNNNNNNNNNNNNNNNNNNNNNNNNNNNNNNNNNNNNNNNNNNNNNNNNNNNNNNNNNNNNNNNNNNNNNNNNNNNNNNNNNNNNNNNNNNNNNNNNNNNNNNNNNNNNNNNNNNNNNNNNNNNNNNNNNNNNNNNNNNNNNNNNNNNNNNNNNNNNNNNNNNNNNNNNNNNNNNNNNNNNNNNNNNNNNNNNNNNNNNNNNNNNNNNNNNNNNNNNNNNNNNNNNNNNNNNNNNNNNNNNNNNNNNNNNNNNNNNNNNNNNNNNNNNNNNNNNNNNNNNNNNNNNNNNNNNNNNNNNNNNNNNNNNNNNNNNNNNNNNNNNNNNNNNNNNNNNNNNNNNNNNNNNNNNNNNNNNNNNNNNNNNNNNNNNNNNNNNNNNNNNNNNNNNNNNNNNNNNNNNNNNNNNNNNNNNNNNNNNNNNNNNNNNNNNNNNNNNNNNNNNNNNNNNNNNNNNNNNNNNNNNNNNNNNNNNNNNNNNNNNNNNNNNNNNNNNNNNNNNNNNNNNNNNNNNNNNNNNNNNNNNNNNNNNNNNNNNNNNNNNNNNNNNNNNNNNNNNNNNNNNNNNNNNNNNNNNNNNNNNNNNNNNNNNNNNNNNNNNNNNNNNNNNNNNNNNNNNNNNNNNNNNNNNNNNNNNNNNNNNNNNNNNNNNNNNNNNNNNNNNNNNNNNNNNNNNNNNNNNNNNNNNNNNNNNNNNNNNNNNNNNNNNNNNNNNNNNNNNNNNNNNNNNNNNNNNNNNNNNNNNNNNNNNNNNNNNNNNNNNNNNNNNNNNNNNNNNNNNNNNNNNNNNNNNNNNNNNNNNNNNNNNNNNNNNNNNNNNNNNNNNNNNNNNNNNNNNNNNNNNNNNNNNNNNNNNNNNNNNNNNNNNNNNNNNNNNNNNNNNNNNNNNNNNNNNNNNNNNNNNNNNNNNNNNNNNNNNNNNNNNNNNNNNNNNNNNNNNNNNNNNNNNNCAUCCAUAUUGUUGUGAAAGCCUCUUGGCUAGUUUAGCUCGUUUGAUUUCGAGAUAGUAGACGUGGGCCUAGUUCUAUUAGACUAUUCCGCAUUAAACGUUAGAGGCAAAACUUGAAAAACAUAUUAUUAAAUUACCCGCAUUCCCAUAACAUGAGGUGUAGCCAUUUUGAACAAAUAAUUGGGGCUUUUGAUAAAUUUAGAUGAACGCGAGUCAGGAUUGUUACAAGACUGAGUCGAGUAUUAAGUCAUUGGAUGGGAGUGGUACGUGUCGUCUGGUAGCAAGAGGUCGAUAUGAACUCUACAACCCAGACGAAAUUUGGUUACUACACUAGAUUUAACAUUGCAUAAUCGAAGUGCAUCACACUAAUCUGUAAAGUGCAACGUGGAUGGUUGAAGUGCACCAUAUCAAAGCGCAGCGUGCAUAACAGAAGUGCACCAUUCCAACUUGCAUGGUGCAUAGUGCAUGGUGGAAGUGCAAAAUACCAAGGCGCAAUGUAUUUAGUGGGAGGGCCUUGGAACAAGGUGCAUGUUGCAUUGUGCAUGGAAGAAUGGCAGAUCUAUGAGACACAAAUCUAAUCCUUCUCAAAUUUCCAUGAGACGCAAAUCUAAUCCUUCUCGAAUUGCCAGACUGAUCAAAUAACGAAAAGUAGUUGCAUCCACCACAGGAGAAUAUGUCUCCUCAUAAUCAAUUUCGGGUCUUUGUGACAAUCCUUGGGCAGCAAAGCGUGCCUUGUACCUCGUAAUUUCACCAUUUUCAUUACGUUUUCUUACAAAAACCCAUCAGGUGUAAGGACCACAGGUCCAAAAACUUUUCGUUUUUCAAGAGAAUGUAAUUCUUCCUUAACUGCGUCAUUCCAUUUUGACCAAUCCUUUUGUUUUUUGCAUGCAUUCAUGGAUUUUGGCUCAUGACCCUCAUUUUCAUCAAUAACAUUCAGCGCUGAAUUAUAAGCAAAAAUUUCAUCGAUGUUAACUGUAUUGCGGUUCCAUUGAAUUAUAAGCAAAAACUUCAUCGACGUUAACUGUCUUGCGGUUCCAUUGUUUACCAUCCAAGACAUAGUUGAUUGAGAUCUCUUUAUUUUCAAUAUGUUCAGGUACCUGAUGCUGUUCUUGAGCUGAUAUAUCAGCAAUGUUUGAUAGCUUAUCCUCGAUUGGACCAUCUUGAUUUAUAGCUCCUUUUCUUUUUCGAGGAUUUUUAUCUUUGGAACCGAUAGGUCUACCACGCUUCAGACGUGCUUUAGACUCAUUUGUAUUUUCAUGAUGUCCAAUAGGGACAUCUACUCUUGAUGGAGCAUUCAUUGCUGGAACAUGAGAUUUGGUUACUCGAUGUGGGUCAGUAAAAGCGUCUGGCAGUUGAUUCGCUAAACUUUGUAAAUGAAUUAGCUUUUGAAUUUCUAGUUCACAUUGUCUAGUACGAGGAUCAUAAUGAGAUAAUGCUAAUUCAUUCCAACUGAUCUCUUUGUCCAGCUUAUUAUUUUCUCCCCCUAAUGUUGGGAAAACUGAUUCAUCAAAGUGACAAUCAGCAAAACGAGCUGUGAAUAAAUCUCCUGUCAUUGGUUCUAAAUAUUUUAUAAUCGAGGGAGACUCAUACCCAACAUAAAUUCCCAACCUCCUUUGAGGUCCCAUCUUAGUGCGUUGUGGUGGUGUAAUAGGGAUGUAAACAGCACAUCCAAAUAUUCUUAGAUGGGAUAUAUUCGGUUCCUGACCAAAAACCAUUUGUAAGGGGGAAUACUCGUGAUAACUUGUUGGCCUGAUGCGAAUUAAUGAUGCUGCAUGUAAGACAGCAUGCCCCCAACAUGAAGUGGGAAGCUUUGCCUUCAUUAACAAUGGUCUUGCUAUUAACUGUAAGCGUUUGAUUAGAGAUUCUGCUAAACCAUUUUGUGUAUGAACAUGUGCUACAGGAUGUUCAACAUCAAUUCCGACAGACAUGCAAUAAUCAUUAAAAUGUUGUGAAGUAAAUUCACCAGCAUUGUCAAGGCGUAUCGUUUUUAUCGGAUAAUCCGGAAACUGUGCCCGUAAUCUGAUCAAUUGAGCAAGUAAUCGCGCAAAUGCCAAAUUACGAGUGGAUAAUAACGAUACAUGUGACCACUUAGUUGAUGCAUCAAUUAAAACCAUAAAAUAUCUAAAUGGUCCGCAUGAUGGAUGAAUUGGUCCACAAAUAUCGCCUUGAAUGCGUUCCAAAAAUGUGAGCGAUUCAUUUCUCACUUUUAUCGAUGAUGGUCGGAUAAUCAAUUUUCCUUGAGAACAUGCAAUACAAGCCAAAUCAUUCGAUUGGGGAAUUCGCUUACUCAUCAACGAGUGUCCAAGGGAAUUCUCAAGUAUUUUACGCAUCAUAAUUGUUCCGGGAUGGCCUAACCGGUUAUGCCAAACUACAAAUCUAUCACGAUCCAUAAACUUGGAGUUUAUAAUGGAAUGUGAUUCAAUUGUACUAAUAAAAGUGUAGUACAAACCAGAAGAAAUAGAUGGUAGUUUUUCAAGAUAACAUUUGUUACCAUCUACCAUACUUGUGAUGGCAAUAUAUUCUUUAUUUUCUUCCUCAAUUGUCUCGAUGUGAUAUCCGUUACGACGGAUAUCUUUAUAACUUAAUAAGUUGCGGUGAGACUUUGUAGAAUAUAAUGCAUCAUCAAUAUGCAUUCUAGUUCCUCCGUGUAGUAGCACGGUUGCUCUUCCGGAGCCUUCAAUUAAAUUACUACUACCGGAUAUAGUGCUAACAUUAGCUUCUCGCAUCACUAGAUGAGAAAAAUACUUCUUAUCCUUUAGAAUAGUAUGAGUGGAAGCACUAUCGAUGAGACACACAUCCUCAUUUUUUAUGUUGUCGUGGAUGGCAGUAGUAUCCAUGCUAUAACACGAAAAUGAUAAUCCAUAUUAGAAGGGACAAUUAUGAUGGGAAAUUCAUUAAUAAAAAGAAAUAAAAAAAAUGAGAAAACACGUUCAAGAAAAACAAACUCAAACAAAUCAAAUGAGAACGAUAAUAAGGUGCAUACAUCAAGGCACCAUUUUUGUAAUAAAAGAUAUCUCAACAACAAUCUUAUUUCUCAACAUUUCCAUCAUGAGGAGGAAAGAAGUCAGCAACAUCCAGAUGAGUGGUGUCAAAUUGGCCAUGGUUCAAAACACCUUCCUCAAUGACCAUAUUGGUUUCAACCUUCUUGUCUUUCCUUGACUCUUGGUAAAGAUUGAUAAGAUGUCUAGGUGUACGACAAGUGCGAGUCCAAUGAUCGCCGCCACAUCUAGUACACAUAUUUUGAAAGUUUCUGUUGCUAGGCCCACCUCGUUCCUUAUUCAUUCGCCCAUCCCGUUUGAAAUGUGGACGAGAAGAGUGGUUGAAUCUCUGAAGGCGACCGUGACCAUAAUCACNNNNNNNNNNNNNNNNNNNNNNNNNNNNNNNNNNNNNNNNNNNNNNNNNNNNNNNNNNNNNNNNNNNNNNNNNNNNNNNNNNNNNNNNNNNNNNNNNNNNNNNNNNNNNNNNNNNNNNNNNNNNNNNNNNNNNNNNNNNNNCCACGACCACGAUAUUGAUCAAAAUUGUGGCCAUUUGUCGCGUUAGCUUCCGGAAAUGGAGCCAUACCAGUGGGGCGUGAUUGGUGAUUUUUCAAUAAGAGGUCAUUGUUUUGCUCGGCCACUAAGAGACAUGAUAUUAAUUCAGAAUAUUUGGUGAAGCCCUUCUCCCGAUAUUGUUGUUGGAGAACUAUAUUGGAAGCAUGGAAAGUGGAAAAUGUCUUCUCGAGCAUUUCCUUAUCAGUGAUUUUCUCGCCACAUAGCAACAACUGCGCGCAAAUUUUGAAGAGGGCAUAAUUAUACUCGCUCACGGAUUUGAAAUCUUGUAGGCGUAAACGCACCCAAUUAUCACGAGCUCGAUGGAGAAUCACUGUUCUCUGGUGGUCAUAUCGGUCUUUGAGAUUAUUCCACAAUUCGAGAGGAUCUUUGAUGGUGAGAUACUCAUUUUUCAAGCCCUCGUCAAGAUGGUGGCGAAUAAAGAUCAAAGCCUUGGCUUUGUCUUGGGCAGAUAUUUCUGUUUCAUCGUUAAUCGUGUCGCCCAACCCUUUGGCUUGCAAAUGGAUGUCAGCAUUAAUCGUGUCGCACACCCCUUUGGCUUGCAAAUGGAUGUCAGCAUCUAAGACCCAUAAGAGGUAAUUUUUGCUCGAAAUGUCAAGGGCCACAAACUCAAGUUUGGAAAUAUUUGACAUGCUAUAAAAGAAGCAAAUUGAAUUACAAAUAUAUUAUAAGCCAAAUAAUAAAACAUAUGAAAAAUGAUAUAAUAAUUAAAAUAGUAACGGUAAUGGAACGUUCAUUAACAUAGAAAUAAAGAACGCUUUAAAGAAAUAAUAAUAAUAAUAAUAAUAAUAAUAGUGGCAUACCCAUCUUGAAACAUAACUAUAUAGACAUUUAAAUAGUGAUAGAGGUUUUCUCUUUAGGGUAGGAACAAAAAAACAGAGGNNNNNNNNNNNNNNNNNNNNNNNNNNNNNNNNNNNNNNNNNNNNNNNNNNNNNNNNNNNNNNNNNNNNNNNNNNNNNNNNNNNNNNNNNNNNNNNNNNNNNNNNNNNNNNNNNNNNNNNNNNNNNNNNNNNNNNNNNNNNNNNNNGAUCAUGAAUUAAAAAAGCAACAUACAAGCAAAAAAAACACUAUGGAAAGAAACGGAAGAUAUAAAAUAUGAUAGGUCAUAAUAAUAUAUACUAUAAAAUAUACAUGAUGAUAACUAAACGUUUAGGCCAGCCUAUAAAGGCAUGAUAUUUGACCAAUAUAAACGUUUGAUUAUAGUCAUCAAUAGAAAAAUGACAAAGUCGUUUUUGAAAUCGGUAAAAUGAGAAAGACCACCAUUUGUUACAUAUAAAAAAAAUAGAAAUGGAUUCCUUUCUCUAACUCUAAUUUUGAAAAAGAAGAUUUUAUAAGCAAAUAGAACAAGAUAAAAAAUAAUAAUAAUAACUUUGGAAAACAAGAUAUAGCAAAUAACAACCUUCGUGAAACUUUGAAAAAAUAGGCAGACACUCGUGCUGAUAACGUGUUAUAAAACUAAGAACAAAGAAGAGAACAAGAACAUGGGAGGAGAAGUACUUUCUUAUUGAGGUGUGUGGAAUGCUACAAAUGAGAGCUCUAUUUAUAGGCUCAUGAAAUCAUAACCUACACUCUCUAAUAUUAUUACACAUAAAAGAGGGGAAUGAAAUACAUUAAAUCAUACACAUAAAGGAGGGAAAUAAAAUACAUUAACCAUAGAAAAAGGAGUUACACAAUUGGGCAUUCAUUACAAUUAUCUUCAUAACAAAUAUUAAAUUUUCUUUUGCUUCAACUAUUCACAUUUCUUUUAAUAAAAACAAUUUGGUUAAGCAAAUGAAGAGAUAUGAUUAGUGGGAUGGAGAAAAAAAUAGGGCAAUAAGAAUUGAUAAAAGUCGACUGGAUGCCAGUCCAUUGGAUGGAAGUCUAUGGAAGGAAGCAAAGUGCCACUUAAACCAAACGCCUAUCUUCAGUGUGAUGGUACGGUCGCCUCUCAUUAGGACGCUAAGUUGUACCCUUGGUAACCAAUCUUAAAACUGAUAUCCAUUGACAUCCCACAAAUAUGGAACAUAAGACUUCACAUAUUUACCAUUGAUAAGACAUUCAUGUAACACCCCGUCUAGAUCCUUUAACAAGUAUUCUCCGUUGGGCUGAGUAGCAUAGACAAUGAAGGGUCCACGCCGAAUAGGAUACCACUUACCAAAUUUGGGAUCCUUGUCUCCAAUAGGCAAGUGAAGUUUCCAGACCAACUCUCCUUCCUCAAACGACUUAUGCUUGACUCUCUUAUUAGAAGCUCGAGCAACCCUUUCCUUUUGUACUCUUAUGUUGUCAAGUGCCUUGAAUUGAAUCUCAUCAAGGUCCACUCACUCCAACAUCAUUGAUUCAUAAUACUUAGAAGGGGCCAACUCAUGUUGGCACAUGUACCUUGAGGAUUUAAGAUUCACCUCAACAGGUAAGAAAGUUGCAUGCCCAUAAGUCAAGGAAAAUGGUGUUAGCUUAGUACUGCAUAGAGGUAACAUCAUAUAUGCCCACAAAGCUUUUGAUAGUAGGAUGUGUCACUCUUUGGAGUUGUCUUCUAUCAUCCUUGAUUAUGUCCCCUUCACCACUUUUUAGAUGCCUUAGCUUGCCAUUGGCUUGGACGUAGUAUGAAGUGGAAUGUAUUAUCUUGAUACCAUACUCCUCGAUGAAGGCUAUUACUUGGUCUCCUGUGAAGACUGUCCCUUGAUCAGUUGUUAUAGUAGCUGGGAAACCAAAUCAAUAAAUCAUAUUCUCCUUGAUGAAGGUAAUCACUUCUCCUUGGUUGAUAACUCUCAUUGGCUUGGCCUCCACCUAUUUGGUAAAAUAAUCGGUUGCAAAUUAAUAAAUGUAUAUUGUUUAGAGAUCAGUGGAUAAAUAUUCAUGAUCAUGUCCAUUGCCCAGCCAAUGAAAGGUCGCGGCUUAAUGAUAGAUUUCAAAUCAAUAGUAGGGGCCCUCUACACUGGGCCAUUGCAAUGACACGCCUCACAGCCCUUAGUGUAUGCAGCUCAGUCUUCACCAAUAGAUGGCUAAUAGUAUCCAUAUCGAUGAAGUAUCCAUCUCAUCAAAAGAAAGCAUGAUGAAAUACACAUAUACCCUCAUGUACUUCGGCCAUUGCUUGUAAGGCCUCCUUGCCCUCCAAACAUUUUAGUAGGAAACCAUCUAGCCUCCUUUUGAACAGGGUUUCAUCCAUAAAGACAUAGUUCCUUACCCUAAACUUGAAGGUGUGAUAAGCAUCUUCGGUUGGGCUCGUUAGAUAUGCCAUUAAAGUGGUUUACCAAUCAUUGGCAGCUUAUUCAUUUAUGGUGAGCACCUCUACUCUCUGCUUUAAGCGUUCACACAAUGGGUUAAGUGUUCAUAGAGGAGUUUGUUCUCCUCAUAUGUGGGGAAACUCUCUAAAAUCGAAAGCUAGUUGGGCUAAGUAGUUUGCAAUCUUGGCGAGGGACAUACUUGAUAGAUACAUUGUCAAAGUAAGAGAGCAACAUUUGGAACGUGGUCAAGGUAUGUCUCCAACACAUAAUUUACAUAGUGAAAUUCACCAAGUACUUGGUAGACAACUAGCUGGGAGUCCCUUUUAAUAUUAACACUCCUAGUUUUCAAUUCAAUAAGUAUUCCCAUUCCUACCACCAAUGCCUCCUAUUCGGCUUGGUUAUUGGUGCAUGUAAAAUCAAGGGUACAUGAAAAAUGUAAGGCAUGCCCAGAUGGGGAAGUAAGUACCACUCCAGCACCAACAUCGACACAAGUUUUUGAACCAUCAAAGUACAAAGUCCAUGGAAUAUUACCAACCAUACCUAUCUCCACUGAGUCAGGCGGCACAUCCAAACAAUGGUGGUCUGCUAAGAAGUUAGCUAAAUCGUGUCCCUUGAUUGCUUUUUUAGGCACAUACUAUAAAUUGAACUCAGAUGGACGAAGUGUCCACUUACCAAUCCUCCCAUUGAUUAUUGAUCGGGAUAACAUGUAUUUAAUUUAAAUAUGUCUUAUACAAGAGUUGUACUUGAACAUGCAUCAAGUAAUACCUCAACUUUGUACAUGAGAAAAUAAAGCUAAACACAACUUCUCUAUGGUGGAAUAAUUAGCUCAGCCCAUUCAGCAAUCUACUUACGUAAUACAUAGCAUGUUCAUGGCCUGAGUCAUUUGAGUCUACAGACAUGUUACAGAGGUGUUAGUGGCUAAGAGGUACAACUUCAGAGGCCGAUGUGGGACUAAAGAGUAAGUACUAGCGGGCUCACCAAGUAUUCUUAAUUUCAUCAACAGCUUGUUGAUGAUCCUGACGCCACGCAAACUCUGCUUCUUUCGUUAAUUUCAGCAAGGGGGAGAACACAUGGAUUCGGCCAGCACAAUUCAAAAUAAACUAUCAAAUGUAAUUAACUUGGGCAAGGAACCUGUGUAGCUCCUUCUUGUUAGUUGGUGGCAUGGCCUCUAUUAUGGCAUUUGCCUUACUCUUGUCAACCUCAAUGCCAUGUUGAUUAACAAGAAACCCUAAAAAAAUUACCUACAGACACACCAAAAGCACAUUUAAGUGGAUUUAACUUUAAACUAUGAGUCCUCAUACGUAAAAAUGCUUGGCGUAAAUGGAAAAGGUGUUCAUUUGCUAUCUUAGAUUUCACAAUGAUCAUCUACAUAAACCUCUAUCAACUCGUCAAUCAAGUCAUGAAAGAUGGUAUUCAUGGCUUGUUGGUAAGUGACUCCUGCAUUCUUCAAGUCGAAGUGCAUGACUACCCAUUUGUAGCAUCCAAUAGCCCCUAGACAUCUGAACGCAGUCUUGUAGAUGUCUUCAUCGGCAAAAGAGUAUUUGAUUAUAGCCUGAGUAACAAUACAUAAAAGAUAAACUCUUAUGUCUAGUCACUGCAUCAAGCAACAUGUCAGCCAUCGGCAUAGGGUAUUGAUCUGUAGGAGUAACUAUAUUCAAAUUCCUAAAGUCUACACAUACACGUAAUUUUCCAUUCUUCUUCCUAACUGGCACUAUAUUCGGCAGCCACUCCACAUACCUAGCCGGUCUAAUAACCUUAGCUUUUAACAAGGGUUCAAUUUCUUUUUUAAUCUUAGGCAAAGUUUCAUAAACAAACCGCCUAGGUGACUGUUUAAAUGGCUUAAAGCCAGGGUUAUGGUAACCUAUCAAGGCCAGGCAUCUCAUGCUAGUGCAAUGCAAAAAAAUCUUUAAACUCUUUCAACAAUCAAUCAAAUCAUACCUGUCAUUUUCAUAAGCAAAAUGCCUAGGUGACUGUUUAAAUGGCUAAAAGCUAGGGUUUAUUAGUAACCUAUAUAGGCCAGGCAUCUCAUGCUAGUGCCAUGCAAAAAAAUCUUUAAACUCUUUCAACAUUCAAUCAAAUCUCAUGGUAGCCAGACCAACCAUGGUCGUGGUCAGCAGUCAGUCACGAGCGUGACCACCAGGAGAUUGUGGUUGUGACCAUCAGUAGGUCAUGGGCGUGGGUGUCAAGCAACCAUGGGCGUUGUGGUAAGUCCUUCAUGGGUGUGGUGGACUUAUUAUAAAAGCCAAAUCUGCGACCUGUAACUUAGAAUUAAAGCAGAAAAACCUACGACUGGUGAUCCUUUCUCAGUAGGUGGAGGAGAUCGAUAAAGGAGAGGAGGCAGAGUUGAUUGGUCUAGUAUCAUCGAUAGAGGGUUCGUGAGGCUAGGAGAGGCAUGGGAAGGUAAUAAAUUCUCUCCUUUCUCCCUUAAUCCUACGGUUGAAACCCACGUAGGAAAUGCUAACAGUCAGGGUUUUUGGAUAUUCAAUCCUUGAUUGGUCUUUUUAGGUCUAAUAGGACAGGAGGCUUAAGCUUCAGGAACGAAGCCACUAAUCACACUCUACCAGGAAACUAACUGAGGUGGGUAGAAGAUUGUAUUCUCCUUUAGAAGCGUAGAACUACAGUAUGAUGAUUUGGAAAUCCAUUGAUGGGAUUUGUUGUCCUAAUGGUAUUCAUGAUGAUGAGCGAGGGCUCUCGUAGCUGCUCCUCCAUCAAACUCCUGCACUUGGAUUCCCUACUCAAUCAAUUACGUUAGGUCACAAUUAGGUUAGAAAUUGAAGGUUUUUUAUGUAGGUUAGAAAUUGAGGGUUUAAUUCAAUGUUAUGAGCACUACCACUUCUAGGAUUUAGUGUUUAGUGUAGUGAUUAGGAUUUCAAAUAGAAACUUAGAGUUUCAAUUUAAGGGUUAUUAGUUAGGGUUCUUAGAAAUUCUAGGGUUAUUAGUGUUAGGGUUCUUAAAAUCGCUAAUGAGUGAUAAUGACGCAUUGUGCAUGAGUUGUUUAAAAGAAAUCGAGCACACAUGAACUUAUAUUGCAUCAGGAGAAUCUAAUUCGAGGUUGGUAUAUGUUGAAAUUUUGGGUUUUGUGUUCUAUGUUCGAUUUUCUUCUAUUAAGAGGUUGGCAGUCAAAUACCUUAAACCAUGUAUGGAAAUGUGGAAAUGUGGUGUUUAGAAAUAGGGUUGCUUUAAAAUGUAGUAAUGUGCUUUGCUAAUUAAUAUAUGUGUUAUAACUGUGUAAUUGAUAUCUAAACUAGAAUUUGGUAGCAUGAUAAUGUAAUGUGCCUAACAAUGAGUUUGCUUACAAAAGUAGUAGUAUAUAGUGUGCUUGAUUAGAAAUGUGAUUGCUUAGAAACUAGUUUAGUGAACAUAUGAAUUCAGUCAUGGCAUGGCAGACAUUAUGGUAGGAGCGUUGGACAGAAUGGAGGUGAUGAUGAUGAUGGUCAUCAGCGUUCAGUGGAGAAGGAGGCUUCGGAUUGGUAUGUGUGUUGCGUGUAUGGUAUGUAUACUUUCUCUCUAAACUAUGUAUCAUGUAUUAUGUAUAUGUGUGUGUUUGUAAAAUUAUGUAUUGAUUGUUUAGAUGAAAAUGGUAAGCCGUCUUAGGAAAAGUGGACAUUUAGAGAGAGGAGCAACAUUGGGCAGGAUGGGAGGAAGAUUUUUAUCGAGUUGGAUGCGGUUCCAGCGCCUUACAAAUGAUCUGGCCAAUACCUGUGACAGGUGCUUGGGAAGAGAAUCAAACUAGAACAAUUCACAUUUGGCAAUGACGUUGGUGAUGUGUGAGCGAUUUGGAGAAGGAAGACUCUUGGUAGUAACUCAUAGAGGUCAAUAUAGUAUUUUCUCUCUUAUUUAGGAUUUAGGGUAAGUUUUGUAUCAUAAUUAGAGUAUUUUAUAUAUCUUAUUAAUGGUUUGUUAAAUCAACCUAUAUUGAAGUAGCCUAUGUACUAUUGGAAGCCUGAGGAUGAUAAGGAUAUAUGAAAGUAUAUCUUCCCACAUCUAGGGAAGAAGUGGAGAGAGCAUCGAGGGGCAGUUUGGAAGAAAGUCCAGGCCGAAAAACCCUAAGAUUAUAGCUGAGUAUGUAGUAGCAAAGCCUAAUCCCGACUAUGAAGUUCACUGUUGAGGGAGUUUUGUGAAGUAUAAGACGGGAACGAAAGGAGUGAGGAGAUCGACAAUUAAUAAGUGUUGGAGAUUUCACUCAAUAAUGGGUAUCGGAAAGAUGGUUGCUUUCUUAGAAACAAAACCUUAUUGACAUAACGCAAAAUCUUUUUUGUUCCCAAGAAGUAGAAGAGGCACGAGGAUUACUUAAAUCCCUACAACCUUAGGAAUAAUUUAUUUAGAAUACCCAAGUUGAGACCUUCAUGCACAACAAUGUUCCAGAGAACCUCGGGGGAUCUUGGAUCAUGACGAAAUCAUGGAUACCACUUUUUGAAA